UAACGAAAGGCACACAACCCUGGCGCGAACUAAAGCAAGGCUUGCCUUACAUUCUCAAGUCUGAACUACCUUUAUUCAUCUUACGAUUCUUAAAUACUUGCAAUACAAAAAAAAAAUGAACAAGUAUUUGUAAAAUGUUGAUCAAGCAUUUGAUAAAUGUUAAAUAUGUAUAGAAAAAAUGUUGACCAUGUAUUAAAAAUGAUGGUUUUUUCAUAAUUUAUAUAAAAAACUUUAAUCAAGCAUUUGAAAAAAUGUUGGUAAGUAUUUAAAAAAUGUUAAAUGUGUAUAGAAAAAAUGUUGACCAUGUGUUAAAAAAGUUAAUAUUGCAAAGUUGAAAAUUUUAAGCAAGCUUUUGAAAAAUGUUUGAAUGUGUAUAAUAAAUGUUGAUCAUGUGUUUAAAAAAUAUUAAAUUUAUAUUGGAAAAUGUUAAACGUAUGUUAGAAAAUCGUCGUUGACAUAUACAAAGUAGAAAUGAAAGCAAAAAAAUGAAAGAAAAAAAGGAAAUAAAAACGAAGGAAACAAAUGAAAACCCGGGGAAGAAAAAAAAGAAAAGUAACAAGAGAAAACGAAAAAGAAAAAAAAUCCGAAAAAAGCCGGCUAUACUUGCUUCACGUAGGUCCUGUCCCCGCUACUUAACAGGAACAGUGGGUGGGCGUGAUGUUACCGUUUCGUUCGCUGCUCUGGAACCGCUUUGAACCGCUUCAAAGCGGCGAUCUUGGGGUGAUUCUUGCCUGCUUCUCUCGACGCCGACAACACCGUGGGUCCUCGUCCUCUCCGUCUGCCGCUCCGGCGGCGGGAGGGGCGGUGACCCCGGUAGUUUCUCUCUGGUGGGGAGAUUGAAUAGGCAUAAUUUGUUUUCAGAGGUGCUGCAUCAAUGAUGGGGACAGCGCCGCGUCGAAAUAAUCUGUUUCUGCUCUUACCUCGUCUCGGUGGCACUCUAAUGUGUGGCGUCGAGGAGCGGGUGGCUCAGUCUUCAGAUCUGGUAAGAUUUGUGUUUGAUGGUCGGCACACGAUGCUCUCACGGGUGGCGUUGGUGUCGACCGUCUCGGUUGUGUUUGGUGUCUUGCAAUGGGGUGAGUGGAUGGAGGCAAGCAGCAGCGUUCCUCUUCUUCGAUCGCAUCGGAUGAAGUUGAUGACACUGGGAUCUAGCGGACACGGGGAAGAACCCCAGCCGACGUGCCACAAAGCCCCGGUCCCGUCAUUUGCGGCGGUCCGUUUCGUCGGCUCGAAAAGCAUCAUUGUAUGCAAAGGUGCUCCUCCAGAUCUGGGUAUGACGGUAACUCCCUUCUUUCUUCAGUGUUGCCUUGGUGGCGGUGGAGGUCGAUGGUGGGCGACGUUUCGGUGUGGCACAAGAUUAUGUCAGAGUGAAAUUUUAGUUUUGCUUCUUGCAGAAUCUUUGAUGCAAUAUUGCAAGACAUCUACAUAUGUACUAUUUGUAACCUGUUUGUUUAAUCAAAUAUAUGUGGGGUUUUUUUUAAAAAAAGUUGGUGGGCGUGAUAGAUAGAUAGCUGCGCUCGUUGCCUUCCUGGAGUUCCAGCGUUCGACCCCUUGUUCUACCUUUGUUUCUUCUGCUUUUCUUAAAUGUGCGCGAAAUGGGCCUGCCCGACUACUGUAGCCGCUUCAGGUCUCGCUGAAGGUGAGAUAUGGUCGCCGCGGACAGAGUUGCCCAUUUGAGAGAAACGGCCCUGUGUGGAUAUUGGGCCAAAAUGUAGCCCAGUGCACUGCGGCACACACCACAGUUUAGAAUUCCUGCGUGGCUCUACGCUUUAAUACCACAUGGCUUGUCAAAGGUAGAUUCAACAUGUUUAUAAGCUUUCCCACGCUGCAGGAUAGCACAGCAUGUCAGCGUGGCAAGCGCUGACAGCAACUCUUAAACUGGUAUAUGAUACAUGAUUGAAACUUACCAGUCUGAAGACCCAUACAACACGCUGUGGGUGUGCUAUUUUGUUUUUGAGUCUGGAGUACCUUUUUUUUUUUUUUGCGGGUGUGUCUGGAGUACCUUGUUUACAGGCAUUGACUGCUCUUGCGUACUGCUCGGAGAUUGCAUUGUAGUAGUUCUGAAACAAGCUCGGAAUGGCUUGGAGAUUGCGUUGUAUUGCAGGCAUUGCUCGGAGAUGACAUUGCAGGCAUUGACUGCACUUGCGAAUAGAAGGACGGCCAGGACCGAACCCGCUCCCUAGGGUUUCCCCCCGCCGCCGCCGGCUCCCCCGCGCGGAGCUGCCGCCGCCGCGGCCGGAGCCCGCCGGAGCCGCCAGCCCCCUCCGCCCUCUCCUCCCCCCACCCCUCCUCCACGCCCCUGUACCCCCGCGCCGCCUCCCCGAGCGAGGCGGUCGGGGGCCCUUCCUUCGCGCGCCUCCAGCCCCUCCCCGCGCCCAUCCCUCCUCCCGCCGUCGUCAGCCUGCGCCGCCGGCCCUCGACCGCGUGAUGCUGGCGGCGGUGGGCUUGCCCUUCCCCGCGCGCGGUCCUCUCUUGCUCGGGCGGUGAUGGCCGGUGGCAGUGCGCCUCGGCCGGUGGCGGUCCGGCGUCCUGGUGUGGAGGCCGGCGGUGAUCGUCGUGGUGGUGCCGCCUCUUGGCGGCGGGGUGGUCCGGUGGUGCUGGCCGGCCGGGGGCGCGUCCCCGGCCCAGAUCUGGGCCCGUAGGGUCCCUUCUGGGUCCUUGCGGGUCGGCUCCGGCGCGACCGCAACGCUCUCUGUAUAGGGAGGCAGGGGAACAGCUUGGACUGGGACAGCGACGCCGACAGCGUACCAGCUGCUGCGCGGAGGCGGGAGCUGUCCGGGCCUUUGAGGGCCCGACCGGGCCUGUGGGGCCACGGGCCCGGUAGGCUACCGUCAUGGACGAUGGAGGUGGGGCCCUCCCGUAUGCCGACGGUGUUGUUGCCCUAGUCCCAGCUCCUCUUCUCCUUUGUGCAGACCAUCUUCGCGGUGCCGUGGUGAGACAGUGUGGGAAGCUUCGUGUCCGUGUUGGCGCAGGGUGGUGGUCAGUCUGGUGGCGAGCUCCGGAGUGCCUGAGGUAGAGGCUGAGAUCGGGAGAAAUCUUUGUUGGCUUGGCGGGAGCUGUCCGGGCCUNNNNNNNNNNNNNNNNNNNNNNNNNNNNNNNNNNNNNNNNNNNNNNNNNNNNNNNNNNNNNNNNNNNNNNNNNNNNNNNNNNNNNNNNNNNNNNNNNNNNNNNNNNNNNNNNNNNNNNNNNNNNNNNNNNNNNNNNNNNNNNNNNNNNNNNNNNNNNNNNNNNNNNNNNNNNNNNNNNNNNNNNNNNNNNNNNNNNNNNNNNNNNNNNNNNNNNNNNNNNNNNNNNNNNNNNNNNNNNNNNNNNNNNNNNNNNNNNNNNNNNNGUCCGGGCCUUUGAGGGCCCGACCGGGCCUGUGGGGCCACGGGCCCGGUAGGCUACCGUCAUGGACGAUGGAGGUGGGGCCCUCCCGUAUGCCGACGGUGUUGUUGCCCUAGUCCCGGCUCCUCUUCUCCUUUGUGCAGACCAUCUUCGCGGUGCCGUGGUGAGCCAGUGCGGGAAGCUUCGUGUCCGUGUUGGCGCAGGGUGGUGGUCAGUCUGGUGGCGAGCUCCGGAGUGCCUGAGGUAGAGGCUGGGAUCGGGAGAAAUCUUUGUUGGCUUGGCCAACACCGACGCGGGGGCGUCUGAGGGUGCCGCCGGACCUUCCUGGAGGGCGUCGGGGCUACCCUUCCUCUCUCCUCGCCGUGUACCGGGGGAAACCCUUGGCAGCAGCAUCGUCAUCGCCGCGUCCCUUCUUGGAGGUGUUGUUGGGUACCGGCACUUCGGAGUCUCGGAGCUUGGUGAGCGAUCUCCGGUGGACGCAGCGGUCACAAGGCUUCGUCGUUUUUGUCGAUCCGCCGUUAUCGGCAUUUGUUUCUUUUCUUUUUUUUCUCUUUCCUUUCUUUUGGGCGUAUUUGUGCUGCUUCCACCCCAGCCCCUAUCGUCGGUUGUAUCGGUUGGUUGCUUUGUAAUACAAAGCGGGGGAAACCCUUUUUCUCAAUUGACUGCACUUGCGUACUGCAGGCAUCUUCUUUUACGAGGCGACAACGACUCGAAUUAAUGAUCAUAGUACUACUAUCAAACAUGAUACACCAUGUGGUAUCUGCAGCUUAACCAAAAAAGGUACACUCUCGGUUCAUAUAAGUUUUUAUAAAUUGUGAUGAGAAAAAAGAAACAUGUAUACACAAAAGGUUCACAUAAAUUUGGUUAUUUUUAACAACAAUCAUUUCUAUACUAUAUAUAGGCAACGGGGAAAUUCAAUCACCCUAGCCACCCCUAGCUACACUCCUGAAUUUCGGUUCAAUAAUACUCCUUUGGUUCCAAAUUACCAAGCACACUAGGUUUUGUUAGGACAAGUUUUUGACCAAAAAUUACUCUACUGAUCUAUAGUACUCCUUCAGUUCCAAAAUAACUGUCUCAAGCUUAGUACAAUUUUAUACUAGAGCUGGUACAAAGUUGAGACACCUAUUUUGAGUCGGAGGGAGUAUGUGACAUAAAGUUGAUGUCAUUACCUUCGUAUUCCAAAGUACUUACGCGUGCUUGUUAUUUUGCAUCAUCAAAGUUAGAUCCUAAAUAUAUAAUUAUUUUAACAAACCUAGUAUAUUUGGACAUUAAUUGGGAACAAAGAGAUUAUGAAUGUAUGAUCAUUUGUGCUUUACACUUACUAUAUGACUUAAAGAUUGUAACUAGGCGGUAGACACCAUCAACCAUCUCAAAUUGAUAACAUGAGACUUAAAAAUAUGUAGCUCAAAUUCUUCUUUUAGGAAGUGUUAAAUACUUUUAACUUAUGGUAACCUGGGGGUUUGCAAAUCUCUCUACUCAUAAUGGAGCAGUUGGUAGUCUCCGCCGGUCAAUUUUCGUCCUCGAUCCCACCUUCCAGCGAACCCCCAGGCCUGUCACGAAGCCAAGGUGCCCCCAUGAAGUCAAGGUGACAAACCUCCGGUCCAUCCAGAGAAAAUCGGAGAGAAAAAAUCUACUAAAAAACCUACGAAAUUUAACCAGUGACGAGGCCCCUUCGCACGUAACACGAAAAAUCGCUCGAUCCAACUCCUCCCUCUCCCUCGGUCUCGCCUCUCCUAUCGCUCGAUGUCGCUUGGUCCUCUCUUUAGCCCGCCACCGUCCCCAGCCGCCUUGCUCCGCUGUUGCCCCUCCCUUCGCCUGCCUCGCCCCUGCUCUAGGGGGGAAAUUGGAUGAUUUGCCCCAUUUUACUUGGGCAUUAGAUGAUUUGCCCCACUUUACAUAGGAUUAGAUCAUUUGCCCCACUUUUCAUUUUUCUUUUGAUGAUUUGCCCUUUUCAAUUACUGUAAUCAUUUUUGAAUAUUUAUUGCUUUUUUCUCCAUGCGAAAAGACAUAGUUGCCCCUGUGGCUGAUUUACAGUUUGAUACCGUACAAAUCUUUUUUCUUUACAAGCCAUGUCCAACUGAAGCAACUAAUUAACAGGGAACAAAUCAUAUCUACUUUCUUUACAUGGUUGUACCCAACGGAACCAGGUACUCACAAAUCAUAGAUUGAUUCUGUUGCUUGCGUCGUCAUGUUCAUGGCUAGUGGAGAGGCAGAUCCACCGCAUAUAUAUAGAUCUCUCACCUGUGACUGAAGGAGAUUCAGCAAGAGAUGAAGCAUAUAUAUUUUUGUUGGAACUUGAUCUCAGGUAACAACCCAAGAGAAACCAGAAGGUUUUGACCCCAUACCUUUUCACGUAGGAGCCUUGAUCGGAGGCCUCUAAACCAACGGUUUUGGACCCGGUCCCCAGCCCCAGCACUUGAUAUAAAAAGUAGAAAGAUAGCACGUAAGAAAAACUAGCAGAAGGAGUGCCAUCGACCCAACUGCCCGAUCCAAAAGUCGUGCUAAGGGGCUGGAAGACCGAUCUCCACCAUCGGCCACCGCGAGGCUGUGCCGACGGUUUCUACAUCGACCAGCCGCUGCCCAUGCCGGCCACCUCUAGUGCCGGUGGCGUUCUGGACGUCUUCUACGUAUUGCUGGCCACGUUCACGCUGGUGGCCAUGGGCUAUUCGCUUGCGAUCUCUGCUUAUUCUGGUUAGUAUCCGAUUCCCCUUCUAAAGAGGUGUUCUAAUUACGAGAUUGAGUCGAUGUUUAAUGCUAGUCCUAAAGAAUUUGCUAACAUUGGUAUCAUGAGCUAGUUAAUCUCAGUUAGAACCCUAAUCAGGUUUUCAUGAUGUUUUUAAGUUAAUGAUCUUGUGUAAGUCCUGAUGUUCUCUGUUUUAAGAUAAGUGCAUGUUAAAGGUUUAAUUAUCCUAAAUUAGUGACCCUUGUUUAUGGUCAAUUUCUUAAGGUUAAGGUCUAGUUGAUACGGGUUAGGGCUAAAACAUGAUCAUGUACAGUUCUGUUAUGGUUUGUGGAAUACUGCUGAUGUUUUGAGAUUAAGUUAAUGUAAUUAGGAUGUUAAGGCCUGUUUAAGCAAUUAGAAGGAGGUGAAUAGCGAAUUGCAGAAAUCCCAAAUUUUACCCAAUUUUAUGAAACCCAAAUCCCCGAUUUUUCGAAAUUCGAAAGCAAUAAAAUCCCCAGAUUGAAGAUCAAGACUUACCUAUAUAUGUGCGUCGGGCCGCGCAGCCUCCGUGCCAUGGCAAUAGCCGAUGUGCGCAAACUUAACGCCCGCAGCACCACAAUCUCUUGGUCGCUGCCGAACUGAUGGACUAGAAGCACAUGGCCGGAGUGGCAUGUGCGCCGUCGUCACCUCCUCAAAUCACGCGGCACCGGCGUACUUUAUGGCGGCCGGAACGCCGGCGUACAACCACACAUCAUGUUUUCCGGCGCUUCCCAGCCUAAUGGACGACGAGCAAGUGCGGCUUCCAUGCCGCGCUUUACCGCCAUCCCCUUUUUUUUUCAUGGCCAACGGCAAUUCACCUCCACCAGCUCCACAAAAAAGACCACGCGCACGACGCGGAGAGGGCGAGUUCGACGACGCCGCGCGCACCGUCUCGUCGAUGCACGCGCGCGCCGGCGAACAAGCCCACCGCGUCGCCGUGGUGAUGGGCGCGCGUCACAAUCGGCGGCAGCGCCGCCGCUCUCGCUCGCCGCGGGGAAAUCGGGGGAGGAGGGAAUGAAUGGGGAUUAGGGUUAGACGGGCCGACAAUUUUGUUCCGACUGCGCCGAUUCCUGGCCGUUCGAUUUGAUCUGACGGAGGGGAUCAAUGCGGGGAAGUAAAUGGACCACGGGAGCCUAAUGGACCAACUUCUUCUAAGGGCCCCGACUCAAGUUUUGAUUAGGCCUAUGGCUGCUUUUAUUUUAUCUAACGCCCCGCUCGGGCGGAAUUUCCUGAUGGGCCGCAAGCGCUUUUGAGCCGAAUUUAAGUCUUUUUUAAUUAAGUGCUAUUAUAUUUUGUAAUGCUUAAAAUGUUUUUUGCACUGUUUAAAAAGAUUUAAAGUGCCUGAUUUUAUGUUUAACAUGUUUUCUGAAUAAAAUGGAACCAACUAGAAAUUUUAUUCAGAUUCUUUUGACAUGUUUUAUUAAUGUCUUUUUGUGUCAUUUAAUGUGGAAUAUCAUUUUAAAUAUCAACAAAUGCUGAGGAUUAGUAUUGUAAAUUGAUAUUUAAUAUGAGACUGAUGUGGUCCAUUUGUAAGAUGAACUAGUUAGACUUUUUUUUCCAGUGCUAUUUAUGAAGUUUACAAAUUUUCAAAUAAUGUUGUAUGCACUGUUUAUAUCGGGAAAUGUUUGAAUUUGAAGGGGGGGUAUAGUGCUACAAGAUUAAUGUUGAUGCCAUUUUUAUAGCAUUUUAAUGUUGAGUUACGAACAUUAUGAGAUGACCUUGAUUUUGAGCAUGAUUAUGUGUGACUCUUUAAAGUUUGUUUCAAAAAAAAAUUAUAGCAUUUUUUAUGGACAUCUUUUUUCAAAAUUUUAUUUGUAGCAUGAGAUUUAUGUUGUGAUCAUCUCUAAUGGGCUGAGGCCACCCUAAAGAAAAUGUUAAUUACUGGUUGUGUGGUUCGUUUUUCCGCAACGCACUAUGCAGCCUAAUAAUGACGAGACAUGAUGUUAAAGUAUUAUGCCAUGUGCAUUUUUUUGUCCUUUGGCAUGCACUCAUAAAAGGUGAUGAAAACUCAGCGUGAUGAUUCUCUAAAUAAGGAUGUCUAGAUAGUUUUAAUGUGAUAUCAUGGUCAUGUUUUCUCAAUUGUUGACAAUUAAAAGUUCACCAAAUGUUAUUAUUUGGUGAAAACACGGUGCAAUUUCCAAAUUUUGUUUGCAGAAUGUUAUGGUGUCAUUGUCAAUGAGGAUGUCAAUCUGUUGUCUACUCUGUUAAAUGCCAUGAUUAGAAUGUUUAAAAGAAUGAUAGUUUUGUUAUCAUGUAACUGAAGUUUUUAAUCAUAAACUUGACAUAUUUUGUUGAUGUUAUUGAAAUUAUAAUGUCAAGUUUAAUGCAAGAUGACCAGUGAUAAAUUAUAACUUCAUGUGUCUGAUAACACACUGGAUUGCAUCAUUUAUUGGUACUUUAUGUUAAUUAUAUGGCUAUUAAUUUAGCACAUAAGUUCGCUGAUCAUUUUAUGAUUCUAAGUUUCUGGAGUCAAAACAUAAAGCUUUGAUUAGAGAUUUCAUUUAUGAGCAUAUGUUUUAUGGUAUAUGACAGUAUUCCGACCAACGUUGAUUAUUGUCAUGUCCCACUUUUUGGGAUGCGGAGUGUUUUUUUUUCAUUUUUCAACCCAAUGGUGAUACAUAUUAGAACAUGAUUAGCCUCUUUUGAUUGAGAUCAUUCAAGAUUAUGUUUGAUGUUUCAUGAUGAUGCUCAUAAAAAAAAUUGUCCUUGUUUUCAACAAUGGACCAUAAAGUAGAGUUCAUUUAUUUGAAGACUAGGGCUAAUCUUUAAAUUGGAAGGGAAGGACUCUAUUCAUGAUGGAGAUUUUUGACCUUCAUCGUGCACUAUAUGAAGAGGCUCCUAGAGUUUCUAUUGUAAAUUCCGUUGAGGGGGAGGAAUAUUAUGACCUAAAAGCUAUGAAGUGGGAGAAGUCAAAGCGAUGUUCAUUUCUUAUUAUGAAACAUACCACCUCCUUCAUAUGCCAAUUAGUAUUUUGUCUUUAUUGAGGAACAUUUUGAAGAUGUUUUACCCAUUAAAGAUAGGCUUUAAGGAGUUUUGCUACGAGGACAAUAAAGAAUAAAGCAUUUGAAGACAUUUUGUUUAUUCAUAUGAACCUUUUGUUCUUCGUAAUGCAACCUUUCGAUGAUGGUCUUACCAUGUGGUGAGAAUAUUUAUAAAUGUAUUGUUUGUAAUAAAUGUGCCAUGGCACUCUUAUGAUGUAAGUGAAUAAUGAGACCUCGUCGAAAUUGUAGUCAUGCUUACCACAUUUCAAAAGGGGGAAUGGAAUGUCUCAUUGAAUAUGGGAAAUGGUGAAUGUAUUAAAUUCUCCGAGUAGGAUGGAACCAACAAGAAGUCCUAUUUUGGAGAAUGAAUUAUUAUAGUGUUUGAAAGAUCACAUGAAUGUCCUUACUUCCUUUUUAGAAGAAUUACAUGUACUUGCUCCCUUAUAAGAACUAUGAAGCACACAUUAAGAUUUAAAGUGGCAAGCUUGCUAAUCUAAUGAUGAUUAUGAUGUGACUUGUGGUUAUAUUUCUGACCAACGUCGUUUGUAAUCAUGUGUCACACUUCACUCAAGUGGCAAGUUUGUCAGUACCAUGUGGCUCAUGGUUAUUUUUUUGACCAACGUCAUUUUAUAAUCAUGAGUUGCAAAUCAUGAAGUUCUUUUCCAUCUUCUGCCCAACGGUGUUGUGGUUUAGAGCUGAGAUGAUUGCCAUCAAACUUUUGAAUUUAUUUUUCCAUCUUCUAAAGUGAUUUAUCACGGAACCUGGAGCGUAUGGACAUGAAUCUUAAAGAUAACUCCGUUAGAUUUUUGUUCAUAUGCAUCAGGUAAGUUUAGAAGAAAUUUCUAUUGCGGGGCUUAAUGUUGAGCCUUAACAAUUUCUCUAUGCUUGAUAAUGUGUGUGAAUGAUCAUCUUAGUGCCUUGCUUCCAUAUAGGAUGAAAAUUAUGAGCUCUAAUGACCAAUGAAACUCAAUAGAGUUUCCUUAGUGAGUUGUUGUGAUGCUUGUGUUAUUAUUAUAACAUGCUCUUGUGUUACCUUGGUUAAAAUGUAUGUAUGACUCAACCAUAAGAUUUCGUUAUGAAGAUAAAGUUGACAUAAAGCAUGUUGUUCAAAUACAGUUAUGAAAUAAGACGAGCAUUGAGACACUCAUACCAUAAGUUGAGGGGGAGUAAGCUUACUACCUUGUGAAGAUGAAAUAUUCUUGGCGAGCCAAGAAAUAUCUAUCUUCUAUUUAUGAGUACAAGUCUUGGUGAUGCCUCAUACUUUGCUAGUAUUGAGUUUCAUCAAGAUAUUGGUCCAAAAGGAGUAUAAGUCUUAUUAUUAUGACAUACGUCGGUAGAGUACAAAAGAAAAAUAAUUAUGUACUAGUACUCUGUCUCACCUGCUAUUAAAGUUAAGGGCCAUAAAAAAUGGGCAUCUUAGUGUCCAAGGAACCAUUAUGAACUGAUCAGAUAAUGUUGUUUACCUAUGCUUCAGCUGUCAGAAGCAGUACAAGUAUUCAAGUAUGAAUGUGCCCUAUUUAUGAUCGGGGAUACUUGGCAAAUGUACAAGUAAGCCCAGAAAUGGACCACUAGGAAAGCCAACUAAAAGUCUUGCAGUAAAUCAAGGCAUUAAAGUUUACAUGCUCACUGAGUAUCGUAACCUCGAUAUCAUAGGUUACUCAAACAUUGUUUUUGCGAGGUGUGUGGAUAUUAAGUUUCCACGUUAUGUUACACCCCCACCUUCGCGUAUGGAGCUAUAUCGUGGAAAAGCUCCAUAAUGACACCGAUGGCAUCGGUAAUGAUGCAAUUUAUCAUGUGGCAUGCUAAGAGGCUGUUGAGCAGGUUGUAUGUCAAAUAAGUUUUAUUCCCGAAAUGAUGGUGGUAGACAGCAUUUCUAAACCACCUACUGCAAUAUGAACAUGCAAUUUUCUAUGCGAGUAACAACAAGUCAAAUGGCACUGCCAAAACCAUUGACAAUAUGUUUGUGUUGUGAAAGAUAGAGUCCAGGAUCAAGCUAUUGAAGUUGAGCGUAUGAGUACGUCUGAAUGUUUUACGGAUCCGUUUAUCAUAGACUUACCACCCAAUGUAUCAUUAUGUUGCUAGCAUGGGUUGUUGGAAAGUCUUGUUGAUCCUGGAAAUAACGACCGUUGAAUAAUCCAACUCCCAUAAAGUGUUAUGUUUUCCGUUUCAAGAUAGAAUGAUAUACUAUAAGUACUGAGUUUCAGUGUCAUUUGAUAGGUCACUGUGACACCUUACUUUGGUAGGUAUUUCUAUUACGAGCGGGUUUAUGAUGUUUGUUAACCUUACAAUCAAGGGGGAGAAUGUUGGAACUUGAUCUCAGGUAACAACCCAAGAGAAACCAGAAGGUUUUGACCCCAUACCUUUUCACGUAGGAGCCUUGAUCGGAGGCCUCUAAACCAACGGUUUUGGACCCGGUCCCCAGCCCCAGCACUUGAUAUAAAAAGUAGAAAGAUAGCACGUAAGAAAAACUAGCAGAAGGAGUGCCAUCGACCCAACUGCCCGAUCCAAAAGUCGUGCUAAGGGGCUGGAAGACCGAUCUCCACCAUCGGCCACCGCGAGGCUGUGCCGACGGUUUCUACAUCGACCAGCCGCUGCCCAUGCCGGCCACCUCUAGUGCCGGUGGCGUUCUGGACGUCUUCUACGUAUUGCUGGCCACGUUCACGCUGGUGGCCAUGGGCUAUUCGCUUGCGAUCUCUGCUUAUUCUGGUUAGUAUCCGAUUCCCCUUCUAAAGAGGUGUUCUAAUUACGAGAUUGAGUCGAUGUUUAAUGCUAGUCCUAAAGAAUUUGCUAACAAUUUUCAGUGUGAUACAAUUAAACUCUGAAGCAUCUGGGGGAGAUAACUGAACGAAGUGUUUUAUACAAUGUACCCAGCUCCAUGACUGAAGCAGUACGAGCUGCUAGGGUAAUUAGUACUAUCAACACUGUCGCCCAGCCAUGGCUAUUACUGGCAACGCAACGAGCUCACACACAAAAAAUUAUAAAUCUAUGAAUCACUGAAAGAACUUAGUUUUUACCAGCAACGAGCGCACCAUCUGCAGCUCCGAGUUGCAGCGGGAGCUCCGGGACCCGCUGAUCCGCCGAGCUGCAGCGGGAGGCGCCGCGGUGGGCGGCAGAGCUGCAACCGGAGCCGCCUCCCCGGGCCGAGGAGCUGCAGCGGGAGCCGCCGCACCGGACCGACGAUCUGCAGCGGGAGCCGCCGCGCCGGGCCGACGAUCUGCAGCGGGAGCUGCCGCGCCGGGCCGCUGCUGCCAACAUGGGGGCCAAGGUGCCCUGGUCGGCCUCCUCCAGUAGCUUUCUCUGAGUAUUGGGGAAUGAAGAAGAGAGGAAAGGCGUUGAACUGGAGAAUGGUGAGCUCGUCGAUGGAAUUAGGACCAGUCCAAAAGCAGAGGAGAUUACAGAAGAAUUGUAAAUCAGCCACAGGGGCAACUUUGUCUUUUCACAUGAUGAAAAAGGGAUAGAAAUUCGAAAAUGAAUACAGUAAUUGAAAAGGGCAAAUCAUCAAAAGAAAAAUGAAAAGUGGGGCAAAUGAUCUAAUCCUAUGUAAAGUGGGGCAAAUCAUCUAAUGUCCAAGUAAAAUGGGGCAAAUCAUCCAAUCUCCCGCUCUAGGGCCGUCUAGCCGAGCCACCUGCUCCAGUCACGGCUAUCCCUACUCGGAUCUGGCGCUCCUGGUAUGUUCGCUACUUCGAUUCGAUUCCAUCUGUUCCGAUCCGAUCCGAUGGCCGGUGGUGUGGUUGCAUUGCACGGCCCCAUGAGUGGGGUUCAAAGAUCACCGUCACCGGCUGUGUGAGGCCACGAAUGUCAUCUUGGUCCCCUUACUACUAUAUUCCUGAUCCACGAUUGUCAUCUUGGUCCCCUGUACGAGUUGAUUAUAUGAUGUUGUGUUCUCAAGUUUUACUCUGAAUUUGUUAGAUGCUGGAUGAAAUUCACGGCUAAGCAAUUUUUUGGUAUGUCUUAACAGAAUGGUGGAAGGGAGGUUGAACUGAUAAAUUUCUGCAACCACCUUGAGGUCCAUAACGUUCUCCUAAUUAUAUGCAGCCCAAUUCGUAAAGUUGUAUUUGUUUGAGGGAGAGGACUGCCUGUGAUCAGAAGCAAACAACUAAUGUGGGUUUCUGCACUACUAAUGUGUGAGAGAUGGUAAGAGUAUGUGCUAUGUAUUUCUGUGUGUGCACUACUAAUGGGGAUUGACUGUUCAUGCUGCUACAGUAGUUUCAUGAUCGAUUAUGGAAACAAGAAAAUUACUCCCUCCGUAAACUAAUAUAAGAGCGUUUAGAAUACUAAAGUAGUGAUCUAAACGCUCUUAUAUUAGUUUACAGAGGGAGUACUUGAUAAGGAUUUUAUUAGUAUGUACUUUGAGACUUGAGAGGCUGUUAUUGACAGGGAUUCUCUGUCUGCUAGAGAGGCUGGUUCCAAAUCAACAUCGGAGCAAGCGCAAGAUAAGGGGACUGGGGUGAAGUCUUUUCUUCUUUGUCUCAAUGGUAUGCUGAUACGUUCAAACCUGCAUUUUAACUAUUGAUACCUAUAACGAGGCAGAGGAGGAUAUCCUGUUAGGGCGUGCAGCGCUGAGGCGUCGUGAGGAGGAGACGCCAUGGUGCCGGUGGUGCGCCCGCUGCUGGUGGUGCUCAGCGAGGACGAGUGCCAGAAGGGGCUGAGCAGGACGCCCUAGCGCGUCGACAGUAUCUGGUAAUAAUUUUUAUCUUCCUUUCAGAUGUAGUAGUUGAUACCGAUGAACUUAAAUGGAUAAUUUCUAACCUUAAUCUUGCAGUGUUCAGGGAGGCUCCCACAAAAUCAAUUUACACAAUCCCUUCUCUGAUUAUGCACACAGAUCAGGAGAGACAUACUGGCGGGACAAUCUUUAAACCAUGAAGCCCUCUCACGGGUCGACAUUGAACAAAUAAUUCUUCUUUGAGACAGUGAAGAAAACACAAAUCAAUGUAGUGCCCGACCCGAAUUGGACUUCGCUGCUAUAAGAAGGAAGGGUCCAUGGCCGGAAUCUCCAUCAGGAUGCAUACUUGGACCAGAAAAUCCAUCAAGUCCCGUCGAAAUUUCAAUUUUCAACGAAACAUCCAAUGUCACCUUCGAGUUCGCCAGAGGUAGAAGAAUACCCGUCGAGCUGUCUAAUGUCGCCUCAUCAGACUUCGACGGAUCUCUACUCCUAAUGUCUCAGUUGGUAGUUUGAGACAGUGAAGGAGUACUCCAUUUGACCAUUUUAAUCAUCUUGAUCGUUUUCAAAUGGUUUUGUACUCCAUUUGAUCAGUUUCAGUUUCAGUAUGCACAUUUUCAGUUUCAGUACUCUAUAUUAACUGAAAAAGAGUACAUUUUGAUCAUUUUCAAAUGGUUCUGUUAUCAGGUAAUAGUGAUCCUAGAGCCAUCUACCCCUGGAUCCCUUCGCGGGCGCCGAUCCCGUCGAGGUACCUAGCAGAUCCCUUCCCGGGCGCCGGUUCCGUCGCUACGAAGGCUGCAACCAUUUGAAGCCACCGAUCCCCUUGCCAUCGUUGAUCCCUUUGCAACGUUCAGGAGCCGACGUCGAUCCCCUUCAGGAGCCAUCUGGUAUGAACGCACGGUCACGCCGAUCCCCUUCAGGAGCCAACGCAGACUCAUUGCGGGCCAUCCAGGUUUUUGUAUGUUAUGUGCUUUUUGUAUGAGAUUGAGAUACUGUUGGGGCACUCUUUUGGGGUAAUCUUAUUCUGAGAUAUCCGUAAAAUAAUACUUAUUUAGAGAGGAGAUACCGACAGAGAUUUGUUUGAUGUGCUAAGAAAGAUUCAAGGCUUCACUAUUUGUUUGGUCAACUGAUCAAUGUUUUCACAACACAAGUAUUCAUGUUGUAUUUUUAUUUUUACUAUGUCUUUGAACCAUCUAGAUGAUGAACUAUAUACUGUACUUUUUAGUUUGUCGCAAGAACGUGAACCGAAUUUUUAGUCUGUCUAAAUCACGUGCAGAUUGGGUACUCUGGAGCACAUGGGAGGAGGAGAAUGAUGGGAGGUGUGUAGAAUUCGGCGCCAAGGGAGACGAUCGAGAUGGUGGAGCAGAAUCCAGAGGACGCCGGGAGACCAGGUAGAGGAGAGACAACACCCGGAGCCCAUCGAUCCAGUGAGCAGUGUGUGCUGUUCUUGGUGACCGAUUUCGUGAUGCGGGUGUUCUGGCCCAACUUCUUAUUUUCCUUCUUUGUGGUCCGUAUGCUGCAGUGAGCGGGGGAUUGCUAACUUUGUGGUAAUUUUCUGCUCUGAAUGAUGCCCAUGAUUUGAUCUAUGAACUUAACACGAUCAUGGUUCUGAUUUGGUUGCUCCUUGCAAAUCGCCGCACAGGUAACCUGCUGAGCCGACAUAGACGCCAAGUGCGGCGAUGCCUCUUCCGAUGAUUGGGAGGGCGAGUUCUUCCUGGGCUUUACCAAGAUCAACUAUGAGGUGAGGCCAUUGACCUUGAACUGAACAGAUUAAUUGUUGUUAAAAGGUUGCUUCCAGUUUAACAUUUGUUUUUGAAAAAAUGUACUACAUGGUCCUACUAGCAAGAGGAAGCUUUCUUACAAGUGGUGUAACGCGGAGGAAGUGAUUCUUGUAAAGAAAAUGUAAGUAUGAUUUGCAUAACUAUGUCUUUUUGGUAUAUAUCCUUUUAAUUUACUUGUACAUUAUGUGCUGCACUAGGAUUAUAUAUUUGUUUUGUGCUACAGGUUAGGUUGCGGUUCAGUGUGGCAUUCUGGCAUAUGUUUCGGGGUACUGGAGGAGAUCCUUUUGGUUCACCUACAAAGAACUGGCCUUGGGAGGAUGGCACAAAUUCCCUGGCCAUGGCUAAGAGAAGAAGUAUGGGAAUUACCUGAUCUUGUGUCUUAGGUCCAUGGCUGGAAUCAACAACUUAUGCUUCGAUUUCUGUUUCGGUGAUAUCUCAAUUCGAGUUCAUGAAGAAGCUUGGAGUUGACAGGUGGUGCUUCCAUGACAGGGAUAUCGCCCCUGAUGGCAAAACACUCACGGUAUGAUUUUAUUAGAAUGAUUCUUGAAGUUGCAAGUUGCAACCUCGAGUUAGGGGAAUUGAGACGGGUAGUGACCGACAUUAGAGCAGGUUUAUUAUGAUUGUAUUUACAAGGGUACAUGACUAUGUUUUCAACACAAGGAAUAUGGUUGUUGAUGGUUUACGGCCCGGCUGCGCCCACAUCGUCCCGACACCAAGUUCGAGACCAAGUUCUAACCCCUGUACCCAAUCAACCUCCAUGGAUCUUGUCUCUCACUAACCAAGAGCAUCAAUUCAACUCAACAGAUUGACAAAAGAGAUGAACCUAGAGUUUGAGGCUUGGGUAGUGUGGACAUUGACCUGAUGAUGAGUGUUGUAUGGUGGUCAAGUGGUGCCACUUCCCCUCGCCACAUGCUGCUUAGUCUGCUCAUUGAAGGUGCUCUCUGUUGGUGUUUGGCUGCUGCUGCUGAUGUAGGUCAAGGUAUGUACGUAGCAUCUUCUUGCAAAGGAUUUUGUUUUAUGGCUAUAUACAAAUUAUUUUGGUAUAGAUUUGUGAUUUUUGUUCCGUCCACUUAACCCAGUAUAUAGUAGCAGCUUUUGAUGUCCUUUCCUCACCGGCGAAUGUCAAAAUUUAUCAUGUGUGCAAAAAAAAAUUGAAUGUAGUACGAGUACAAGGUUUAGAGAAGUUCGAUCAAAUGGCAAGGCAUUUAUUUUGGGACGGAGGGAGUAUCUCAUAGGCUAUUCCAUUUUAACGUUGCAAUGUCCAUAAAACAUAUAUAAACAUUUUGGGACGGAGGCAUUUAUUCUCGGGGAGUCGUUGUUCCGGAUAUACAUAUAUAAAUCAGGUCUGCACCACCCUUUAUCUUAGCAGAAAUGCUUGUCGCGUCUCUCCUCAUUUUAUUAGGAGUAGAAAAAUUAGAGGAUUGCAAGUGUGAACAGUUCUUGGGCUUGUUGUGGUCAAAGAACUAAAUAUUUUGUUUCUUAUAUAAGGGCAGUGACUUCACUAUGUUAGGCUGGAUGGUUCGAUAUUUAGUAGCAUCAUCAAACUGGAUGCUAGCAAAGUGAUAAAAUUUGGAUGUUUUCGGAAAUAUAGCAUCAAGAGCUGAAUAAGAGAAAAAAUAAUCAAACAUCAUUAUGAAUGCCUUAGGAUAAUGAUUUUACCUUGCGGUUAUACUCUGCAUUGCAUGCCUGGAGAACUAUUGCUUUCAGAUCCAAUUUACAGUCCAGGUUGACCGUCGACACAGUAUUCUUGCCAUCAGAUCAGACACUAGAAAGCAUAGUACACCCAGGAGAAAUCAGACCAGGAAAUAGCUCUGGCUCAUACUGUCAAGCAACCAUAUAAAAAACAUCAGUUCAAAACAAGGAAAGAGACAAGUUCUGGGAAAGAAUGAGAAAAUAUCAUACAUGAUAAAAUAGUGCUGACGGAACAGAAUUCACAUCCUAACCUGGUCGCAUGAUUCAAAUUUAGAUUUUGGCCCAGUAUCUAUUUAAUGUGUACAGUUCACAGAAAUAAUAAUGUUUUGUUUUAUUUCGUUACAAGCCCCGACAAGCCAUGACGCUUGAAGAUAUGGAGGCGACGAAUCUGUGCCGACCCCCUCUUGGUGAUAACUCGGUCGGAGCCACUCUUGGUGACAUCUUGAAAAGGAGUACUCUACAACUACUGCUUCACAAGGGAGGCAAAAGGAACAUAGUCCAUCUUAUAAGCAGUUCAUUACCAAAACUUGAAUUUGCAAAAGGAACUUGAAUGAUCAUUUAAAUUGUGUGGAGUGAUUAGCCAGAAAGAGAAGAGAAAGAAAUGCUUGUAGGAGUGACAAUUAAAAUAAGAUAAUUGUUGGAGUAAACAACACUCGAUUAGUGACAGUUGAGUGACAAUUAAAGAGGGCAUGAUGAUGUGAUAAUUACUGUAACUACUCUACAUUAACUGAGAAGGAGUACUCCAUUUGACCAUUUUGAUCAUCUUGAUCGUUUUCAAAUGGUUUUGUACUCCAUUUGACCAGUUUCAGUUUCAGUAUGCACAUUUUCAGUUUCAGUACUCUAUAUUAACAGAAAAGGAGUACACUUUGAUCAUUUUCAAAUGGUUUUGUGAUCACCAGAUGAUGGUACUGGUAAUAGUAGAUUUAUAUCUUGUGAUCACCAGAAAAUGGAGUACCGUGUUUUCUGGUAGAGAACCAAGAAAAGACAUUCAAAAUCUACUAGGAAAUUAAACUUUAAAUUAGGUGCAUAAACUCUAAAUUAAAAAAUGCAAGUCCUAAUUCAUUUGGUUUUAAAGAAAACUUAUCUGAAGUAAAGCAGUAUAGUCUCUACAUGACGAACAAGUAAGAAGGAAUGGAAAGAUAAAUUUCCGAAAUGAAGAUAACAAAACAAACACUGAACAAUUGAACAGUCACUUCAACCAACACUCGACUACUGAUACUGAAUCUUGGUACUGCACAAGCAUCAUCAUUAACAUGGUCUCAAGCAGUGAAGUUCCACAAAAUUUACUGCAAUCUUGGUACUGGAAAUGUUUUACUCCUUCAAUGAAGUUCCACAAAUAUCUUGGUACUUCAACCAACAAAUGUACUCCAAAUGUUUUACGGGAGUAUGCUUGAGACCAUUAGGAGUGCCACACGGCUCCAGCAAUGUGUCCACCUAAAACACUUCAGAACAUUUAUUCAGGCGAGGUUAAUAGGAUGAACUGACUUGCAAACGUUUCAGAAUUGGCUGCCAAUGAGAGGAGGGUGAUGAAUUGACUUGCAACAAGUGCAUGAAGUAAGAUUUAUACAGAUUUACAGAGAUUCAGAUACAGUCAUUGAGGUCUGCUUGGCCUAGGCUGCAGUGCAUUCAGAUUCAGUCAUGGAAUGGAGUGAGAUGGAGAUGGUGCCUCACCUCUGUAUUUGGAGCUGCGGAGGAUCUUGGAGAUGACGGUGCAGUCGACGAAGCUGUCGUCCACCGCCAGGACGAGCGGCGGCUACUGGACCGUCCUCGACAUUGGGCAGCAGCAGAAGGGGAUGAAGUUGCCCUGCACCUCCCUCCAGACGUUGUUGGCCUUGUUGCUGCUGAUGAACAGGAGGCCGCGGAGCGCCCGGUGCACGCAGGAGCAAUGAAUCCGCUCCAUCUGGCCGCCGCACUUGUGGGACGCCAUGGAGCUCCAGAUUAAAGCCCUGGCCAAGUUAAAUGAGCUCCAGAUUAAAGCCCUGGUCGGGCAUGAGCAGCAGCAAGGGAGGGAGGGGGGAUGUACCGCAGCUGCCGGCGUUGCAGGUCGAGCCGCCGCGCUUCGGAUCCACCUGUCGGAAAGUAAAAAUGGGGUCCUGAAGGGCCGACGACGAGAGGGACAAUGGAGUGGCGGCGACGACACGAGAGGGAGAGGCAGAGCGACGCGGGCGAGGGAGAGGCGCCGGCAACACGGGCGACUGAGAGGCGCUGGCGACGAGUGCGAGGGAGAGGCGGCAGCGGCAGCGGCGAGCUAGGGAUUCGACUGGGGCGAGCCAGAGAGUGGGUGAGUGAGCGAGAGUGGACGAGAGAGGUGGGAGGGUAGUUUAGGAAACAACAAAAAAAUUGUACGUGACGAAUUUUACACUGAAACGUAUGGAACCUCUUCAAAGACUUAUAUUUAGGAACGGAAGGAGUAUAUAUUAAAGUGUAUACAUAUUAAUUAAACAUGGAUCAUACAAAAAAAAUAUUUUUAUACUUAUUAGAUAUAUUCAGAGUAUCACACAAAAAAACACAAUUUGAGAGAAGAAACCGAAUAUACUUGGUUUGUUUUGAAUUGCUUGCAUGCUUUUAUCUUUCGUCGAACAAUUUUCCUUAGCCUAUACAAAUAAAUUAAAAUGAUUUAAGAAAUUUCAGAUGAUUGUUUAUUUAUAUAUGAACGUACAAUUGAACAUUAUAGUUGGUUGUUUGCUUCGAGAGAAAUGCAAGAUCUUUUUUGAUAAUAUGAAAAAUGGAUUUUCUAUUUUACAAAAUAAAAUUGUUGGUUAGUUUCACUUUUAUUUUUAUUAUAUAUAUUAUAUAUGUUUCUUUCAUCAUAGAUAGAAAGUGAUGAGUUCCGACAUACGCACUGAUGUAACAAUGACUGGCCUGACUGAAACACUACGAGAAGAGGUACAUAUAGCUAAUCCUUUGUAUAUAUCUAAAGGUGUAUUCGUAUGUAUUUUUUUCAGAAUAUAGGAGACAUAGAUAUGGAAAUUGGAGAUGCACAAAAAAAAAUCCAUCGACAAGGGUUUCGAACCGACACCACUAAAAGGGGCCAAAAAUUUAUCAAAAUUUUUAUUACAUAAUAAUAUGGAAGCGGUGAUAUCUCAUAAAAAACGAAAAAUGAUGCCAAUUUAAAUGUUACAACACAAGGUGUCGUGGAAUUGUCACGGCAGAUGUCCUUAGUGUGAGGACUUAGUCGCGAGGCCAACGCAUCUAUGUGGUAGCUUGAGAGGGGUCGGGCGGAAUCGAGAGACACAACAUAAGACAAGGAUUUAGACAGCUUCCGGCUCCGGUAAACAUCAUCGGUAAUAACCCUACAUGCUGUUUGUGGCUAGGUCUCAUUAUGAUCAUGAGGAAGUUGCCCGAAAGCCGGAUCUUUGUGUCUAGCCCUAGAGAUUGUUUCUUAUUUCUUGUCCCUCUUUGGGGAGCCCUGCCCCUCCUUAUAUAAGUUGAAAGGCGGGUUACAUGACUAGUCCUAGUAGGAUUAGGAUUACUCUAUUACAAGUGGAUUCCUAGUCUUGCUUCCUUUGUAGGAGAAUAUUCCUUAUGCAUUUUCUCUUAAGCCGGCCCACCAUAGUAUGAGCCGGCCUUCUGGGCCUUGGGCCUUGUCUUCUAUCUGACCCGCCGUCAGGGCCAUCCGUGAGUUGCCAGACUCGUGAGUCGUCAAACCAGUGAGCCGCCAGACUCGUGAGUCGUCAGUCCUCCGGCGAGUUACCAAUGAAAAUGCCAAGCCCGGUCGGGUCAUACUUCCGGCCGGGUCAUGCCGCGGGGUAUAUCCCCAACAUUAGCCCCCAGUUUAAUUUGGAUUUAUCCAUGUUAAACUGAUCCUGUAAAAUAAACACAAGAACAAAUUUGAUAGAUUAUGCUCCGGGUUAAAUAUUUUCCUGAACCGGCACCUGAUCAUCCUUAAAUCCUUAUCAUUUCCUCCUGGAUGCAUGCUCAAGAUCUUAUAGCAAAUUUCCUUUAACAGAUAUGUUCAAACUUUACCAAUGCAAAAAAUCCAGGCACUUCUUUAAAAAAUCCGGGUCAAUAGGCUAGCUUCAUAACCAAUUUGCUGACAUUGGCUCUUGUAGAGAAAUAUUAUAAGAAAUAAUCCAUUUGAGUCAGCCUUCAAUGCUCUAAAAUAUUGGUCUUGAAAUAUUCAACUGAUAUUCAGCCGGCUUAAAGAUGUAGAUCUUGCCGAUUUAUGAUUGCCAAAAUUGCCGGGUUAUAAAUAAAUGAUGUCGGGUCAUGAUUGUUGCAGACACCGGGUUAAUCUGGUCUACUUCAAACUGAGAAUUUGAAGAUUUUUCCUCCCUUAUAUGCAUAUCACCUGUAGCCCCCAAGUGCAGGGUUGUUAUGCUUGUAGCAACCUGGGACUUGUAAUUACCUUAUGCUCAUGAAAACUUCAACCAGUGUAGCCCUCAAGGGUCAGGUCAUUGUGCAAUAAUGAGCAGGGACUUAGUAGAUAUAACCAUGUAAACUUGAACAGCAACAUGUAACCCCCUAAGAGCCGGCUCAGUAAGAUAAUACUAAGCUGGGACUUUGUAUAUAAUUUAUUGAUAAUAACAUCAUAUAAUAUAAUCUUCACCAUGGGGCUUGAACCCAUGUCCACAAGGUUAAGAGCUUUGUACUCUACCAACUGAGUAGUGAACCGUUCAAUAUAAUAGAUUAAUGCUUGCGUACCUUGAAUUUUUGACAGGAGCAAUUGGUAGCCCCCAAGGGUUGGCUCAUUACAAUGUGAUGAGUCGGGUCUUCAAUAAGUUGAGCAAAAAAUGACUUUGCAUUAGCCCCCAAGUACCAUGGUGCAUGCUGGCAGUGACAUGGGACUUGCAUAUUUGAUAUGAUCUCAAUCUGAAUAAUGUAGCCCCCAAGUGUUGGGUCGUAAGCCUGCAAUGACUCGGGACUAUUCCUUUCAUUGUAGAAUAAAUCAUAUUCAUUGAUAAAAAAUAGUCAUUGCACCAAAGCGACUAUGAAUACCUUAUCUGUUGACAAGUAAAUCCGGAGUUUAAAUACCCGGCGGUUCUUGGCCAAUGGCGAUUUAAUACGCUUACAUUGUAAGCCAGAAUUUUUAUAACUCGGCGGCUUAUAGCAUUUGAGAAAAUCCAGAACGGAUAAUCACUUUGAAGCAUCAAUUUUAAUGAUGAGCUUGAACUUAAGGAGUUAUAUAAGUCAUAAUUCUGCAAAUCCUGCAUAGAAUUUAAACAACAUAUGCCCUGGCGACUCAACGUCAAAAACCAGAGCAGGUAACAACUCAAACAUAAUAUAGUCUUUAAGCAAUUACAGAAAAGACUAGAAUUAAGGCCAUUCAAGCCUAAACAUACUAGCGACUUAACGUUAGAAGCCAGGGCGGUUUAUCCAACCUCGCAUAUUUAUAUAACCAGGAAAACAUACCUGUAGAAAUUGGCUCAUACUGCCAGCUUACAUCGCCGUAUCCAGUAAGGGCAAUAAUCCAAUGAUUGAUAAGCGCAUGAUUGGAAUGGCGCAAUCCAAAAAUAGACCGGCGACUUAAAAUCCAUAGCCAGGGCCGGUUUAAACAUAAUCAUGUAUAAACAAUAUCAUACCUGUGAUAUGGAAUCGUACUGCCGAUUUAUGAUACUUGUGCAGUAAGGGUGAUAACCCAAUCCUUAGAAGCUAACACUUUCCAAAUAUAUGAUGAAUGUCAUAUGCCGGCGACUUCGUCUAAAGCCAAGCCGGGUUAAUGAAACCACACUUAUACUUAGCCCGGAACAAAAAAGUCUCAAGACAAAAUCAAAGAUUGUUUUCAAAAACUUAAGCCAAAAAUAAGGAAAAAUCGAGGCUUCUAAUUCGAAUACGAUCAGUAAACCGUUCCAAAGGGGUUAAGCUAGGAUUCAAAUACGAUCAUAUAGCCCCCAGUGACUUUGGCGUUGCGCUGAUCAAGAGGGUACCGACAGCUAUGUUCUAUUUGGUUCGAAUACGACCUAUGUUUGAACAGGAAGCCCUUAAAUGAACUUGAGAGUUUUUUAACGACUCUGAUUCGAAUACGAUCAAAGUCGGACCCAAAAGGGGUUAAGCUAUGAUUUGAAUACGAUCAAGAAGCCCCCUAGUGAGUUUGGCAUUGUGCCGAUCAAGAGGGCACCGACAGCUAUGUUCUCUUUGGUUCAAAUACGACCUAUGUUUGAACAGGAAGCCCCCAAAUGACCUUGAGAGUUUUAUAACGACUCUGAUUCAAAUAUGAUCAAAGUCGGACCUAAAAGGGGUUAAGCUAGAUUCGAAUCAGCCCCCAAUGGUCAUUGAAGCGGGGUACCUAUGUUUGAGUUGUGCUUUGCAACAGACUCUCUUUGGUCCCUUUAAUUUUUCCUGAGAACUCGAACUUUGCGAGAGAUAAAUUCUUCUUGAGCCGGAAUUUUAAACCGGAUAUUGAGAGCUUCAAAGCUUUCUAAGAGACAGAUUUCUCUUGAGCCAGAUUUUCUUGGAGGGAUCUCUCCUAGGGUUUGAGAAGCUCGCAAUUUCGUCGGAUGAAAAAAAAGCCAGCAAAUUCAUUCUUGGUAAUAGGGAUUGUGAUUUACUUUGGAGCUGGUAGUACAAGGAUCAAAAGAAUUUGGAGUGUAUCGAGUACGGCGCCGCCGAUGCCGCAAGUCGAAGACAUACGCCAGAUCAAAUCGACACAAGGUUCAAGUCGCCAAGACCAACAUGAUUUGAUGAUUCCUUCGUCCGUGUUCAGAUCAAAUUCGAAGAGACUACUAUUCCCAAGGUGCUACCUGUACACGUGAAGGACUCGGACUACAAUCAAGAUCAGAAAGAAUUAGAGGAGCAAACGGCGGCGCGUGAAGAAGAAGAAAAAACAAAAACAAGGACGCCGGACGCAGCACAACCGCGUAUAUUGGGACAAAUGUGCCUGAUGCAAACUGUUGCCUCUACUCCCGUCAAAUCAAACUCCACGCAAAAGCAAAAGCUGCAGUCCUGUAGACUCAUCAGGUUGCAGGCGGAGAGAGAAGGAAAAACGAGUCCUAUACAAUUUGGUCAGCCAUUGCUGUUGUCUUCUUUACUACCAAAAUCAAUCUAUUCGGUGCAAUCAUGGACCAAGGUCAGAUUAAUACACGCAACUGCGGCCACGCAUCAAAGUCCAUGUACAGGCAAAAGUACAUUUUACAUCACAUCAAAACAUCCAUGAUGGCGCAGAUACGGGAUCGAUUUUUUCUAUAAAUUGUUGCGCCCGAACAAGUGACUCGUAUUCCCAGUUUUGCUACGCUCAGUGGCGAUGGCGGCAAUGCAGUCUACAUGCAUCAACUAGUAUUUAUGUGCAACAAGCCCGUCAGCCCCACUCCUAAAGGCAUUCAAAGGGCAAUCAUUAUUAAAAAAAACAGGAUACGCGGACGUGGGUUUUCCAAAUCCACCACGACCCGGAGACAGAUGCAGUCGUGGUGCAGAGCUCGGACUCCUCUACUACUGCUGCAUGGUUGCAGUUGUGGAUCGAGCCACCGACCACCACGACCCGCCCGUGCUCCGCCGGAUUUCCAUCUCUGCUUGCAUGACCUUGAGUGGUCCUUUGUUCGGCCUCGUUGAACCGCCGGAUGCUGUCGCCGCCGCUGCCCGUCACCUUGGCCAAGCCGCCGUGCUCCAUCUCACGGAAGGCCUCGCUCCUCUGACCCGCCAUCGGCUGCUGCCGCGUGGCAUCUACAGGCUGCAGGCCCUGACUUCUCCUCCUAUACGCUCCUCUGUUGGCUGAAGAAAAGACAGGAGGUAUCGGCUAAAAAAAAGGUGCCAAGCUACCACACAAAAUUAUCGGGGCUGUGUUUGACGAAAGGUGAUGGAUGUUUCAAGUACUAGUGCAUUUCCACCGAGUGCAUUAUAACAAAGGAUCAUAUAUCGUCCGAAUAUAUCAGGUGAUAUCCAUCCAGUUUUCUUUUUAUCAGUACUUAUUAAUUUUUUGUGAAAACAACCACUCUGCCCUAUAGUGUUGUUAUACGCAGGUAGAUUAUUCAUUACAAAAGUAUUGAUAUACCGCGGAUAUGGAGCAUGCGCCAACAUCAUUUUUUAUUGGCGUUCGUCUGUGUCGUGCAACUUCACCGACACGCGUGUAAGCCGCCGACCCUGCGGUCCAGUCUACAUCAAUGCGCCACCCGACUUGCCCAUCCACGCCGCCUUACAACGCCACGGAUGACUUGCCCGUCCACCCUCGCGGCCGGCUCACAUGUCUGCGCGGGCUUACAAUGUGAUGGACAACUUACAGUCCGCCCCCCGCGGCCGACGCUCCCGUCCACGCGGCUUACCGCGCCCGCGAUUGACUCGCCCGUCUGCACCAGCUUACAACGUCGCGGCCGGUUCAUUUGUCUGCUCCCACGGCCGACUAGACCGUGACUGAUUUCAACUUUACCAUAGUCAUCGUCAACUCCGCAGUGGAUAAUUUUUGACCUGACAUAUCAUGUGAAAUCCAUCCAGUAUAUUUUUUAUAUUACAUAUUAUUUUUUUUAAAAGAGCAAUUACUUUGGUUUGCAAGAUCUCCAAUGCUGGACUCAAAAUCAGUCUAUAUCACGGUUAACUAUGGAGAAUUUCGAGCCAACUCAUUGAGUCGUCUUAAGACUCGGGGGCUCCAUGGACAUGGCUAAGUAAAUGUUGCCAGUUUAAAGGCCGUCAGAAAAAUUUCUGGCUCAAAAUGAAGAAUAUCCGGUUUAAAAUCCGGUUCAAGAGAAAUCUGUCUCUUACAAAGCUUUGAAGCUCUCAAUAUCCGGUUUAAAAUUUCGGCUCAAGAAGAAUUUAUCUCUCACAAAGUCCGAGUUCUCAGGAAAAAUUAAAGGGACCAAAGAGAGUCUGUUGCAAAGCACAACUCAAACAUAGGUGUCCCGCUUCAAUGACCAUUGGGGGCUGAUCGUAUUCAAAUCUAGCUUAACCCUUUUUAGGUCCGACUUUGAUCGUAUUCGAAUCAGAGUCGUUAAAAAACUCUCAAGGUCAUUUGAGGGCUUCCUGUUCAAACAUAUGUCGUAUUCGAACCAAAGAGAACAUAGCUGUCGGUACCCUCUUGAUCGGCACAAUGCUAAACUCACUAGGGGGCUUCUUGAUUGUAUUCGAAUCAUAGCUUAACACCUUUUGGGUCCGACUUUGAUCGUAUUCGAAUCAGAGUCGUUAAAAAACUCUCAAGGUAAUUUGGGGGCUUCCUGUUCAAACAUAGGUCGUAUUCGAACCAAAAAGAACAUAACUAUCGGUAUCCUCUUGAUCGGCACAACGCCAAAGCCACUGGGGGCUACAUGAUCGUAUUCGAAUCCUAGCUUAACCCCUUUGGAACGGUUUACUGAUCGUAUUCGAAUCAGAAGCCUCGAUUUUUCUUUCUUUUUGGCUUAAGUUUUUGAAAGCAAUCUUUGAUUUUGUCUUGAGACUUUUUUGUUCCGGUCUAAGUAUAAGUGUGGUUUCAAUUUAACCCGACUUGGCUUUGGACGAUAAGUCGCCAGCAUAUGACAUUCACCAUAUAUUUGGAAGUGUUAGCUUCUAAGGAUUGGGUUAUCACCCUUACUGUACAAGUAUCAUAAACCGGCAGUACGAUUCCAUAUCACAUGUAUGAUAUUUUUUAUACAUGAUUAUGUUUAAACCGGCCCUGGCUAUGGAUUUUAAGUCGCCGGUCUAUUUUUGGAUUGCGCCAUCCUAAUCAUGCGCUUAUCAAUCAUUGGAUUAUUGCCCUUACUGGAUACGACGAUGUAAGCUGGUAGUAUGAGCCAAUUUCUACAGGUAUGUUUUCCCGAUUAUAUAAAUAUGCGAGGUUGGAUAAACCGCCCUGGCUUCUGAUGUUAAGUCGCUAGUAUAUUUAUGCUUGAACGGCCUUAAUUCUAGUCUUUUCUAUAAUUGCUUAAAGACUAUAUUAUGUUUGGGUUGUUACCCACCCUGGUUUUUGAUGUUAAGUCGCCAUGGCAUAUGUUGUUUAAAUUCUGUGCAGGAUUUGCAGAAUUAUGACUUAUACAACUCCUUAAGUUCAAGCUCAUCAUUAAAAUUGAUGCUUCAAAGUGAUUAUCCAUUCUGGAUUUUCUCGAAGGCUAUAAGCCACCGAGUUAUAAAAGUUCCAGCUUACAAUGUAAGCGUAUUAAAUCGCCAUUGGCCAAGAACCGCCGGGUAUUUAAACUCCAGAUUUACUUGUCAAUAGAUAAGGUAUUCAAAGUCGCUUUGGUGCAAUGGCUAUUAUUUUAUCAAUGGAUAUGAUUUAUUCUACAAUGGAAGGAAUAGUCCCGAGUCACUGCAGGCUUACGACCCGGCACUUGGGGGCUACAUUAUUCAGAUUGAGAUCAUAUCAAAUAUGCAAGUCCCAUGUCACUGCCAGCAUGCACCAUGGCACUUGGGGGCUAAUGCAAAGUCAUUUUUGGCUCAACUUAUUGAAGACCCGACUCAUCACAUUGUAAUGAGCCGGCUGUCAGUGUCAAAACCGGCGGAUCUCGGGUAGGGGGUCCCGAUCUGUGCGUCAAGGCUGAUGGUAAUAGGAAGCAAGGGACACAGAUGUUUACCCGAGUUCGGACCCUCUCGAUGGAGGUAAAACCCUACUUCCUGCUUGAUUGAUAUUGAUGAUAUGGGUAGUACAAGAGUAGAUCUACCACGAGAUCUACUCUAAGAGCUAGCCUAUGAUGGUAUGAUUGUAAUUGUGAUCGGCCUUCUAAGGACCAACCUCUCCGAUUUAUAGACACCGGAGAGGGCUAGGGUUUACAUGGAGUCGGUUACAAGAAAGGAAACACAAUAUCCAGAUCGCCAAGCUUGCCUUCCACGUCAAGGAGAGUCCCAUGCGAACACGGGCUGUAGUCUUGAGUCUUGUAUCUUCACGCUUCAAUAGUCCGGACGUUGUACACAGUCCCGCUGUCUGGAUACCCCCUAAUCCAGGACUCCCUCAGUAGCCCCUGAACCAGGCUUCAAUGAUGAUGAGUCCGACGCGCAAUAUUGUCUUCAGCAUUGCAAGGCGGGUUCCUCCUUCGAAUACUCCAAAGUACCUGUUACGACGAAUAGUGUCCGGCCUCCAAUAAAUGUUGUGCUCCUCGGCUUCAGUGCCUCAAUAAUGACCAUCUCCAUGUGCCGAGCGAAUGCGAGGAGUUGAGGCAUUUUUGCAUUUGCCACCCUCAAUCCUCCGGGCUGACCGUCUAUUUGAAGGGACGGGGAUUCUCAGAUCCAAACUACACUCUCCCUCCUAGAGCUAGCAUCCAACAGAGCGCUCCGCGAAAAACCAUUCCAACAUGGCUGGCCGUCGCAACUCCUCUGCUCGCCUUUCUCAUUCUCAGUCGGGGGAUUGGGGAGAGUGCUCAGUUCCCCAUAGCUGCUUGAUAAAGUUACAAACCCAAGGGUUUCUCCCACCAGCGUUCAUGGUCCCUGUCCGAGCUGGAAUAGCUACUUAUGACGGAGGGGAACAAGCAGAGGGAUCUCCCAAUCCAUCUCCAGAGGAGCGUAUCUGCCUCAUCACGCAUCUGUUGAGGGGCGUCGGGUUUCCUAUCCACCCAUUUCUUCGCGGGCUCCUGGAGUUCUACGGCCUCCAGUUACACAAUCUUACCCCUGCCUCCAUUCUGCACAUAGCGGAGUACGUCGCCCUUUGCGAGCUGUUUUUAGGCUGCAAGCCGCACUUCGGAUUAUGGAGGAAGCUGUUCUGCCUCGUCCCCCGCACCCAGGGAGAAUCCCUAUGCCAAGUGGGCGGUGCCGAAGUAUGGCGCAUUGCCGAGACCGGAUACCUAUCCGGCACUCCUGAGAAGGCACCAGAAAACUGGCCUUCAGAGUGGUUCUAUAUAGAUGACGUUCCCCUUCCGGAUCCAGUCUGGACGGCUCUCCCCAAGUUCAGCAACACCCCGCCGAGGGCACGCCUAAGCUGGCGCCCCCGGGGUCCUCAAGAAGAGGACACAAGGGAAAUACACUCCCUGAUGAACAGGAUAAAGCUACUGGCCAAAUCUGGACUGACGAUAGUUGAGGUCAUGGCAAUAUGUAUAAGGCGGGGAGUGCAACCGCUUCAAUAUCGGGGGAAGCCCAUGUGGCACUUCAACGGGGAAGACGAUGCCACCUCCUGCAGCCGUAAGGGUCCGGACUCCGCUGCUGCUUUGGCAAGGAUAUUGUCCGAUUUGUACAAAGGGGAAGAGGAGGAAUUCCUUCGCAUUAAAACGCGGGACGGAUUCUCCAUGUACAACCCCCCAGAGUGGGUAAGUCGCCAUUCUUUUCACUGCUUCACUUACUCUAGCACUCUUCUGCUAAGAUUACCUGCAUCGAUGUUUCCGAACAGGAACUAAGGAGGGCCGUAGAAGGAAUCUUCAGCCCCUCCCCGCAGCCGGAGGACCUCGGAAGGACCCUAGAUCCGGGACUCAAAGAAGAUCUGGAUAUUACCGUGGAACUCGUCAAUGGGGUAUUUUAUCAAGAGAGCUGGGAUGGUGCCUUAGUGGCCAUUAUAGCCGACUAUCCCGGACUGCUCCCUAUGUCGCGUGUAAGCCGAGCUAAAAAAAACCCUAUCCUCCGAGGAGGACUUCUCCCAGGCAUUAUGCCCUACUCUGAAGGUGUCGUACUAUUUGCAGAAACGACGGUCGGAACAUGGGGCCGAGCCCCUAGGGACUCGUCAACCACAGACGUCCGGAUCAGGCAGGCUCAAGAGGAAGGCGGUGAGGGUCGACACACCGCUGCAGAGGUAAAGUGAUAACCUAUCUUGUGAUUAUAGUAUUUGAAAUAUGAUAGCGCCCUUUGUGUCUGGCAGGAAGAGGAGCAGCUGGAUUAUAUCCGGGAAUCCCGCCAAUCACGCCUCCACCAGCCAGGUUCCAGAACCGGCUCUGAGGGCGGAGGCGGGCACGGGGCCAGUACCGCAUUAAUUCUCAGACAGAGGAUGCGGAUAUGUGUUCGGCUACGAACUCCGAAGUGGAGAGCACCAUGAAUCACCGGCGCCGGAGGGCCGUGCUUCGGAACAACAUCUUUUCCGAAGAGGCUUUUAACGCCUUCAAUUCGGCAGAUGCAUACAUCUGAGCUACUCGAGGCGGGCUUGCCCAAGCAACGAACCAGUAUACCAAAAAUAUAUGGGUAAGAAAGCUUAACAAGUAUGUAUAGCAGUAGCCCUUGAGACUUGAAAUAGUUGGGACAACUAUUUGAAGGAUCAAUUUAUGCGCAGGUCCUUGUGGACAAGAAUGAACAAUUGGCUUGGGAGCUGGAGGCAUGUAAGGCCCAGCUGAUCGACGCGGUUGCCAAGUUAGAGGAAUCCCAGAAGGCCCCCUCUGGUAAUGCUUGUUUCUAUUGUACGCAGAUGUACCAGUUAGUAAAUGACUGGUGUGAUUAGUCUAACAGAAAAUUCUGCAGACAAUCCCGGAGUGAAUCCGAAGGGCGUAACGGAUGACGACUUGCAUCUCAAAAGGCAGCUAAAGGCUGGCGAGCACAUCCUUACGCAAGUGGCGCAAGAGAGGAACAAUCUACAAGAUGCCAAUAUUCGGCUGGACAUCGAACUAAAGGACGUCCGCUCUCAACUGGUGAACUCCGUGAAGGAGAACAAAAGGCUUCGAUGCGGCAUCUAUGGUGAGUGCUCAAACGAACUGUAUGAUAGUUCGGCGAGGAAGUAUUUUGAAGGAAUUUUGCUUGCAAGAAUGUUAACAGGUCGCCCUGAAGAGGAGAUGCCCCCAUCUGCAAGUGAUUUUUUGCAAGAACUUUCGGAGUUGCACGAGCGUGUUCGACAGGUGAUGCACGGCGUUGCUCAGGCCUUGUGGCCAUCAAGCCUCCUGCCGAAUGGCAUGGGAGAGCUUGCGGACCUGCUUCAAGGAGCCCGGCGGCGCUUCCGCCUGUGGAAGAUAUCCGCAUGCCGGCAAGGUGCAAGAGAAGCCUGGGCGAUGGUGAAGACGCGCUACACCAAGCUGGACCUGAACCAUAUGGCCGAAAUAGGACCGGCGGGGCCCGAUGGGCAAGAAAUUCCCGGAAGUCUGGUAUAUGACCAGGUAGCGUUAGCCGCUAAGUAUUCCCAAUAGGAUUGUAAGCUAGAUAGCAUGUUAGAUGGUAUAGAGGAGGAAUAUGGUCAGUCCAAGUGACUGUGUAAUUUAAUGGGCAUAAGUAGCCCCUAGCCGGAUUAAAAUCAUUUGUCAUGGCGGACCUUUUUGCUUCAGCCCCCGGAUCCUAUAGUCCGGGGUGUGUCCAAAUACCCGCUCGGUUAUACAAAACCGGGGUAUGCAUGGAGACCAGGCGUAGGGGUCAUAAGUGCUUGAACAGACAAGUACCCAACUAGUUAUGUUAUAUUACAUGGAUAGUAAGAAACAUCUUCUAGGGAGAAUAGUUCCGUUAGGGGUUCCUUUCCCUGGGUACGCAUGCGUCAAUGCACAUGUCCGAACUGCGAACGAUGGCGCAGGAUACAAAACUUCUGGGUUUUUUUGUUGUAACCAACGAAUACAUCCUUUGUUCACUGAUUGAAUAUUCUCUUAAGGAAACUAGCUUUCGACUUCACCCAGUCUGAGGUACACAUCCGGCUGAACCGACAGUAACAAUCGCAGAGGUGCUCCCCUUAUGCCCUAGCCGAAUUAACGGGAACAUAGGGCAUAAACACAAGAGCCAGGCAACCCAGCUUGGCCACAUCUUAAGUCAUAUUGAUGCAUAUAAUGGUGAAGAAAAGGCACAUAUGGAAAAAGAACGCAUAUGUGAUUGGCAAAAGGCCAUUUAAAGUAAUUAUUUUUAGCUUCCGAAUAGGAAGUCCCUAGGUAUUUCUUACACACAUAGUGCGACCGGAGUAAUCCGGGGGUCCGUACUGUAUUAAGUACUUUGUGUGAAGAGAAAAAGGGUCGAGAAAGGAAAAGUGGGGUGGAGCGUAAGUAAAAAGGGGGAGUAGGGAGACGAACACUAAGUUCGGCGUUAGGCGUAGAAUCUCUGGAGUCUGGCCGCGUUCCAUGAGUUCGGCUCGAGUCUGUUGUCCGAUGCAUUACGUAAGCGGUACGCUCCUCCAGUGAGAACUUUGUCAAUGACGAAGGGGCCCUCCCACUUGGGUUUGAGUUUGUCCUUCUUCUUCUCUGGUAGGCGUAGAACGAGCUCGCCAAUAUUGUAAGUUUUGGCCCGCAAUUCUCUGCUUUGAUAUCGUUGAGCCUGCUGCUGAUAGAAUGCGGAACGGGCUUUUGCGACAUCGCGCUCCUCCUCCAGGGCAUCCAAGUUAUCCUACCGAUCUAACUCGGCUUCCUUCUCUUCGUACAUGAGUACGCAUGGCGAAUCAUGUAUUAUGUCGCAUGGUAGUACUGCUUCUGCACCGUACACCAUAAAAAUGGUGUAUAUCCGGUGGUGCGAUUCGGUGUGAUCCGCAUCCCCCAGAGUACGGAGUCGAGCUCCUCCACCCAGUGCGUAUCCGAUUCUGUUAAAGAUCGCACUAGUCUGGGUUUGAUGCCGCUCAUGAUGAGAUCGUUUGCCCGUUUGACCCGGCCGUUUGUUUUGGGGUGGUAGACGGAAGCAUAGUCGAGCUUAAUGCCCAUUUUGCCACACCAAGUUUUCACUUCAUCGGCUGCAAAAUUUGAGCCAUUAUCAGUGAUGAUGCUGUGGGGGACACCGUAUCGGUGUACGACCCCGGAUAUGAAGUCUAUUACUGGUCCGGAUGUUGGGGAACGUAGUAAUUUCAAAAUUUUCGUACGCACACGCAAGAUCAUGGUGAUGUAUAGCAACGAGAAAGGGAGUGUAUCUUCAUACCCUUGAAGAUCGCUAAGCGGAAGCGUUUAUCAACGCGGUUGGUGUAGUCGUACGUCUUCACGAUCCGACCGAUCCAAGUACCGAACGCACGGCACCUCCGAGUUCUGCACACGUUCAGCUCGAUGACGUCCUCGCCUUCUCGAUCCAGCAAGACGGGCGAAGUAGUAGAUGAGUUCCGGCAGCACGACGGUGUGGUGACGGUGUUGGUGAAGAACAAUCUCCGCAGGGCUUCGCCUAAGCACUACAAAAACUAUGACGGAGGAUAAACUAGAGGGGACGGGGUUGCCGGCACACGGCUUGGUGUUUCUUGAUGAUUCUUUGGUGCUAGCCCCGCCCCUUUAUUUAUAUGUUGAACCCUGGGGUCGAAACUUGGAGUAAAAGCCUCCACAAAGUCGGUUUCACCCGAAAGGCAAGAGUCCUUCUUGGACUCCAGGGCCAGACGCCAGGGUUCCCGGCGUCUGGACCCAGACGCCAGGGACCCUGGCGCCUGGCCCCUGGACUCCGCAAAACUUCCUUUUGCGCUUUCCAAAAACCUUCUGGGGUUUCCCCUUUGGCCCAAAUAACGUGUCCUCGUAACCAAACAUUUCGGGAAACAUUCGGAACCCCUUCCGGUGAAUUCCAGAACCCUUCCGGAGAUCAAACACUAUUAUCCCAUAUAUCAAACUUUAUUUCCGGACCAUUCCGGAGUUCCUCGUCAUGUCCAUGAUCUCAUCCGGGACUCCGAACAACAUUCGGUUACCAACAUACAUAACUCAUAUAAUAUUAUAUUGUCAACGAAACGUUAAGCGUGCGGACCCUACGGGUUCGAGAACUAUGUAGACAUGACCUAGAACUUGUUUCCGGUCAAUAACCAAUAGUGGGACCUGGAUGCCCAUAUUGGCUCCCACAUAUUCUACGAAGAUCUUUAUCGGUCAAACCGCAUAACAACAUACAUUGUUCCCUUUGUCAUCAGUAUGUUACUUGCCCGAGAUUUGAUCGUCGGUAUCCAAUACCUAGUUCAAUCUCGUUACCGGCAAGUCUCUUUACUCAUUACGUAAUGCAUCAUUCAGUAACUAACUCAUUAGCUACAUUGCUUGCAAGGCUUAUAGUGAUGUGCAUUACCGAGAGGGCCCAGAGAUACCUCUCCGACAAUCGGAGUGACAAAACCUAAUCUUGAAAUACGCCAACCUAACAUGUACCUUCGGAGACACCUGUAGUACUCCUUUAUAAUCACCCAAUUACGUUGUGACGUUUGGUAGCACCCAAAGUGUUCCUCUGAUAAACGGGAGUUGCAUAAUCUCAUAGUUACAUGAACAUGUAUAAGUCAUGAAGAAAGCAAUAGCAAUAUACUAAACGAUCAAGUGCUAGGCUAACGGAAUGGGUCGUGUCAAUCACAUCAUUCUCCUAAUGAUGUGAUCCCAUUAAUCAAAUGACAACACAUGUCUAUGGUUAGGAAACAUAUCCAUCUUUGAUUAACGAGCUAGUCAAGUAGAGGCAUACUAGUGACAUUAUGUUUGUCUAUGUAUUCACACAUGUAUUAUGUUUCCGGUUAAUACAAUUCUAGCAUGAAUAAUAAACAUUUAUCAUGAAAUAAGGAAAUAGAUAAUAACUUUAUUAUUGCCUCUAGGGCAUAUUUCCUUCAGUCUCCCACUUGCACUAGAGUCAAUAAUCUAGUUCACAUCGCCAUGUGAUUUAACACUAAUAUUCAUAUCUGUAUAUGAUUAACACCCAUAGUUCACAUCGUCAUGUGACUAACACCCAAAGGGUUUACUAGAGUCAAUAAUCUAGUUCAUAUAGCUAUGUGAUUAACACCCAAAGAGUACUGAUGUGUGAUCAUGUUUUGCUCGUGAGAGAAGCUUAGUCAACGGGUCUAUCACAUUCAGAGCCGUAUGUAUUUUGCAAAUAUUCUAUGUCUACAAUGCUCUGCAUGGAGCUAUUCUAGCUAAUUGCUCCCACUUUCAAUAUGUAUCCAGAUUGAGACUUAGAGUCCUCUGGAUUGGUGUAAAAGUUUGCAUCAUUGUAACUUUUUACGACAAGCUCUUUUAUCACUUCUAUUAUCGAGAAAUAUUUCCUUAGUCCUCACUAAGGAUAUUCUUGACCGCUGUCCAAUGAUCUACUAUUAGAUCAAAAUUGUAUUCCUUUGCCAAACUCAGAGCAAGGUAUACAAUAGGUCUGGUACACAACAUAGCAUACUUUAUAGAACCUAUGACUGAGGCACAGGGAAUGACUUUUCAUUCUCUUUCUAUUUUCUGCCGUGGUCGGGAUUUGAGUCUUACUCACUUUCACACCUUGCAACACAGGCAAGAACUCCUUCUUUGACUGUUCCAUUUUGAACUACUUCAAAAUCUUAUCAAGGUAUGUACUCAUUGAAAAAACUUAUCAAGCGUCUUGAUCUAUCUAUAUAGAUCUUGAUGCUCAAUCUGUGAGCAGCUUCACCGAGGUCUUUCUUUGAAAAACUCCUUUCAAACAUUCCUUUAUGCUUUCCAGAAAAUUCUACAUCAUUUCCAAUUAAUAAUAUGUCAUUCACAUAUACUUAUCAGAAAGGCUGUAGUGCUCCCACUCACUUUCUUGUAAAUACAGGCCUUUUCCAAAGGUCUGUAUAAAACCAUAUGCUUUGAUCAACUCAUCAAAGCAUAUAUUCCAAUUCCGAGAUGCUUGCACCAGUCCAUUGAUGGAUUGCUGGAGCUUGCACACUUUGUUAGCAUCUUUAGGAUUGACAAAACCUUCUGGUUGCAUCAUAUACAACUCUUCUUUAAUAAAUCCAUUAAGGAAUGCAGUUUUGACAUCCAUUUGCCAGAUUUCAUAAAAUGUGGCAAUUGCUAACAUGAUUCGGAUAGACUUAAGCAUCGACACGAGUGUGAAAAUCUCAUCGUAUUCAACACCUUGAACUUGUUGAAAACCUUUUGCAACAAGUCGAGAUUAGUGGAUAGUAACACUACUAUCAAUGUCCGUCUUCCUCUUGAAGAUCCAUUUAUUUAACAUGGCUUGCUGAUCAUCGAGCAAGUCAAUCAAAGUCCAUACUUUGUUCUCAUACAUGGGUCAUAUCUCAGAUUUUAUGGCCUCAAGCCAUUUCGCGGAAUCUGGGCUCAUCAUCGCUUCCUCAUAGUUCGUAGGUUCAUCAUGGUCUAGUAACAUGACUUCCAGAACACGAUUACCGUACCACUCUGGUGCGGAUCUUACUCUGGAAGACCUACGAGGUUUGGUAGCAACUUGAUCCGAAGUUUCAUGAUCAUCAUCAUUAACUUCCUCACUAAUUGGUGUAGGAAUCACUGGAACUGAUUUCUGUGAUGAACUAUUUUCCAAUUCGGGAGAAGGUACAAUUACCUUAUCAAGCUCUACUUUCCUCCCACUCACUUCUUUCGAGAGAAACUCCUUCUCUAGAAAGGAUCCAUUUUUAGCAACGAAUAUCUUGCCUCCGGAUCUGUGAUAGAAGGUGUACCCAACAAUUUCCUUUGGGUAUACGCACUUCUCCGAUUUGGGUUUGAGCUUAUCAGGAUGAAACUUUUUCACAUAAGCAUCGCAGCCCCAAACUUUAAGAAACGACAACUUGGGUUUCUUGCUAAACCACAGUUCAUAUGGUGUCGUCUCAACGGAUUUAGAUGGUGCCCUUUUAACGUGAAUGCAGCUGUCUCUAAUGCAUAACCCCAAAACAAUAGUGGUAAAUCAGUAGGAGACAUCAUAGAUCGCACCAUAUCCAAUAAAGUGCGGUUACGACGUUCGGACACACCAUAACGUUGUGGUGUUCUAGGUGGCAUGAGCUGUGAAACUAUUCCAUGUUGUUUUAAUUGAAGACAAAACUCGUAACUCAAAUAUUCGUCUCCGCGAUCAGAUCGCAGAAACUUUAUUUUCUUGUUACGAUGAUUUUUCCACUUCACUCUGAAAUUCUUUGAACCUUUCAACUAUUUUAGACUUAUGUUUCAUCAAGUAGAUAUACCCAUAUCUGCUCAAAUCAUCUUGUGAAGGUCAGAAAAUAAUGAUACCCGCCACGAGCCUUAAUACUUAUUGGUUUGCAUACAUCAGUAUGUAUUAUUUCCAAUAAGUCAGUAGCUCAUUCCAUUGUUCCGAAGAACGGAGUUUUUGUCAUCUUGCCCAUGAGGCAUGGUUCGCAAGCAUCAAGUGAUUCAUAAUCAAGUGAUUCCAAAAUCCCAUCAGCAUGGAGUUUCUUCAUGCGCUUUACACCAAUAUGACCUAAACGGCAGUGCCACUAAUAGGUUACACUAUCAUUAUUAACUUUGCAUCUUUUGGCAUCAAUAUUAUGAAUAUGUGUAUCACUACGAUCGAGAUCCAACAAACUAUUUUCAUUGGGUGUAUGACCAUUGAAGGUUUUAUUCAUGUAAAUAGAACAACAAUUAUUCUUUGACUUUAAAUGAAUAACCGUAUUGUAAUAAACAUGAUCAAAUCAUAUUCAUGCUCAACGCAAAUGCCAAAUAACAUUUAUUUAGGUUUAACACUAAUCCCGAAAGUAUAGGGAGUGUGCGAUGAUGAUCAUAUCAAUCUUGGAACUACUUCCAACACUCAUCGUCACUUCCCCUUCAACUAGUCUCUGUUUAUUCUGUAACUCCUGUUUCGAGUUACUAAUCUUAGCAACCGAACAAGUAUCAAAUACUCAGGGGUUACUAUAAACACUAGUAAGGCACAUAUCAAUAACCUGUAUAUCAAAUAUACCCUUGUUCACUUUGCCAUCCUUCUUAUCCACCAAAUAUUCAGGGCAUUUCCGCUUCCAGUGACCAUUUCCUUUGCAGUGUAAGCACUCAGUUUCAGGCUUUGGUCCAACUUUGGUCUUCUUCACGGGAGUGACAACUUGUUUGCCAUUCUACUUGAAGUUUCCCUUUCUUUCCCUUUGCCCUUUUCUUGAAACUAGUGGUCUUGUCAAUCAUCAACACUUGAUGCUCUUUCUUGAUUUCUACCUUCGUUGAUUUCAACAUCACGAAGAGCUCGGGAAUCAUUUUUGUCAUCCUUUGCAUACUAUAGUUCAUCACGAAGUUCUACUAACUUGGUGAUGGUGACUAGAGAACUCUGUCAAUCACUAUCUUAUCUGGAAGAUUAACUCCCACUUGAUAAGCGAUUGUAGUACCCAGACAGUCUGAGCACUUGCUCACUAGUUGAGCGAUUCUCCUCCAUCCUUUAGCUAUAGAACUUGUUGGAGACUUCAUAUCUCUCAACUCGGGUAUUUGCUUGAAAUAUUAACUUCAAUUCCUGGAACAUCUCAUAUGAUCCAUGACGUUCAAAACGUCUUUGAAGUCCCGAUUCUAAGCCGUUAAGCAUGGUGCACUAAACUAUCAAGUAGUCAUCAUAUUGAGCUAGCCAAACGUUCAUAACGUCUGCAUCUGCUCCCGCAAUAGGUUUGUCACCUAGCGGUGCAUCAAGGACAUAAUUCUUCUGCGCAACAAUGAGGAUAAACCUAAGAUCACGGAUCCAAUCUGCAUCAUUGCUACUAACAUUUUUCAACACAAUUUUCUCUAGGAACAUAUCAAAAUAAUCAUAUGAAAGCAACAACGCAAGCUAUUGAUCUACAACAUAAUUUGCAAAAUACUACCAGGACUAAGUUCAUGAUAAAUUUAAGUUCAAUUAAUCAUAUUACUUAAGAACUCCCACUUAGAUAGACAUCCCUCUAAUCCUCUAAGUGAUUACGUGAUCCAUAUCAACUACACCAUGUCCGAUCGUCACGUGAGAUGGAGUAGUUUCAACGGUGAACAUCAAUAUGUUGAUCAUAUCUACUAUAUGAUUCACGGUCGACCUUUCGGUCUCCGUGUUCCGAGGCCAUAUCUGUUAUAUGCUAGGCUCGUCAAGUUUAACCUGAGUAUUCCGCGUGUGCAACUGUUUUGCACCCGUUGUAUUUGAACGUAGAGCCUAUCACACCCGAUCAUCACGUGGUGUCUCAGCACGAAGAACUUUCGCAAUGGUGCAUACUCAGGGAGAACACUUCUUGAUAAUUUAGUGAGAGAUCAUCUUAAAAUGCUACCGUCAAUCAAAGCAAGAUAAGAUGCAUAAAGGAUAAACAUCACAUGCAAUCAAUAUAAGUGAUAUGAUAUGGCCAUCAUCAUCGUGUGCUUGUGAUCUCCAUCUCCGAAGCACCGUCGUGAUCACCAUCGACACCGGCGCGACACCUUGAUCUCCAUCGUAGCAUCGUUGUCGUUACGCCAUCUAUUGCUUCUACGACUAUCGCUACCGCUUAGUGAUAAAGUAAAGCAAUUACAGGGCGUUUGCAUUUCAUACAAUAAAGCGACAACCAUAUGGCUCCUUCCAGUUGCCGAUAACUUCGGUUACAAAACAUGAUCAUCUCAUACAAUAAAAUAUAGCAUCACGUCUUGACCAUAUCACAUCACAACAUGCCCUGCAAAAACAAGUUAGACGUCCUCUACUUUGUUGUUGCAAAUUUUACGUGGCUGCUACGGGCUGAGCAAGAACCAUUCUUACCUACGCAUCAAAACCACAACGAUAGUUCUUCAAGUUGGUGCUGUUUUAACCUUCGGAAGGACCGGGCGUAGCCACACUCGGUUCAACUAAAGUUGGAGAAACAGACACCCGCUAGUCAUCUGUGUGCAAAGCACGACGGUAAAACCAGUCUCGCGUAAGCGUACGCGUAAUGUCGGUCCGGGCCGCUUCAUCCAACAAUACCGCUGAACCAAAGUAUGACAUGCUGGUAAGCAGUAUGACUUGUAUCGCCCACAACUCACUUGUGUUCUACUCAUGCAUAUAACAUCAACGCAUAAAACAUAGGCUCUGAUACCACUGUUGGGGAACGUAGUAAUUUCAAAAUUUUCCUACGCACACGCAAGAUCAUGGUGAUGUAUAGCAACGAGAAAGGGAGUGUAUCUUCAUACCCUUGAAGAUCGCUAAGCGGAAGAGUUUAUCAACACGGUUGAUGUAGUCGUACGUCUUCACGAUCCGACCGAUCCAAGUACCGAACACACGGCACCUCCGAGUUCUGCACACGUUCAUCUCGAUGACGUCCUCGCCUUCUCGAUCCAGCAAGACGGGCGAAGUAGUAGAUGAGUUCCGGCAGCACGACGGCGUGGUGAUGGUGUUGGUGAAGAACAAUCUCCGCAGGGCUUCGCCUAAGCACUACAGAAACUAUGACGGAGGAUAAACUAGAGGGGACGGGGUUGCCGGCACACGGCUUGGUGUUUCUUGAUGAUUCUUUGGUGCUAGCCCUGCCCCUCUAUUUAUAUGUUGAGCCUUGGGGUCGAAACUUGGAUUAAAAGCCUCCACAAAGUCGGUUUCACCCGAAAGGCAAGAGUCCUUCUCGGACUCCAGGGCCAGACGCCAGGGUUCCCGGCGUCUGGACCCAGACGCCAGGGACCCUGGCGUCUGGCCCCUGGACUCCACAAAACUUCCUUUUGCGCUUUCCAAAAACCUUGUGGGCUUUCCCCUUUGGCCCAAAUAACGUGUUCUCGUACCCAAACAUUUCGGGAAACAUCCGGAACCCCUUCCUGUGAAUUCCGGAACCCUUCCGGAGAUCAAACACUAUUAUCCCAUAUAUCAAACUUUAUCUCCGGACCAUUCCGGAGUUCCUCGUCAUGUCCAUGAUCUCAUCCGGGACUCCGAACAACAUUCGGUUACCAACAUACAUAACUCAUAUAAUACUAUAUUGUCAACAAAACGUUAAGUGUGCGGACCCUACGGGUUCGAGAACUAUGUAGACAUGACCUAGAACUUGUUUCCGAUCAAUAAACAAUAGCGGGACUUGGAUGCCCAUAUUGGCUCCCACAUAUUCUACGAAGAUCUUUAUCGGUCAAACCGCAUAACAACAUACGUUGUUCCCUUUGUCAUCGGUAUGUUACUUGCCCGAGAUUUGAUCGUCGGUAUCCAAUACCUAGUUCAAUCUCGUUACCGACAAGUCUCUUUACUCGUUAUGUAAUGCAUCAUUCCGUAACUAUCUCAUUAGCUACAUUGCUUGCAAGGCUUAUAGUGAUGUGCAUUACCGAGAGGGCCCAGAGAUACCUCUCCGACAAUCGGAGUGACAAAACCUAAUCUCGAAAUACGCCAACCCAACAUGUACCUUCGGAGACACCUGUAGUACUCCUUUAUAAUCACCCAGUUACGUUGUGACGUUUGGGAGCACCCAAAGUGUUCCUGCGGUAAACGGGAGUUGCAUAAUCUCAUAGUUACAGGAACAUGUAUAAGUCAUGAAGAAAGCAAUAGCAAUAUACUAAACGAUCAAGUGCUAGGCUAACGGAAUGGGUCAUGUCAAUCACAUCAUUCUCCUAAUGAUGUGAUCCCAUUAAUCAAAUGACAACACAUGUCUAUGGUUAGGAAACAUAACCAUCUUUGAUUAACGAGCUAGUCAAGUAGAGGCAUACUAGUGACAUUAUGUUUGUCUAUGUAUUCACACAUGUAUUAUGUUUCCGGUUAAUACAAUUCUAGCAUGAAUAAUAAACAUUUAUCAUGAAAUAAGGAAAUAAAUAAUAACUUUAUUAUUUCCUCUAGGGCAUAUUUCCUUCACCGGAUUCGGCCGUUUUAACUGGCUUGGCUUCUAUCCAUUUGGUGAACUUGUCCACCAUGACCAAUAAGUAUUUUUUGUUAUGGCUUCCCCCUUUAAGGGGUCCGACCAUAUCCAGCCCCCAGAUUGCGAAGGGCCAAGCUAUGGGGAUUGUUUGGAGAGUGGUAGGGGGCAUGUGACUCUGAUUGGCGAAGAGCUGGCAACCGACACAAUGUUGGACAAGGUCCUGUGCGUCUGCUCGAGCUGUCGGCCAAUAGAAGCCUGUGCGGAAGGCUUUGCUGACUAGCGCUCGAGCCGCGGCAUGGUGUCCGCCCAGUCCGGCAUGGAUUUCAACCAAGAGUUGCCUCCCUUCCUCUUCGGAGAUGCAUCUUUGGAGCACUCCAGUCGCGCUUUUCUUAUAGAGUUCCCCUUCGUGGACUUUGUAAGCUUUAGAACGCCGGACUAUGCAGCGUGCUUCAUUUUGGUCUUUGGGUAGCUCCUGCCUAUUUAGGUAGGCCAAGAAAGGCUCGGUCCACGGGGCAAUUACGGCCAUGAUUUCGUGGGCUGAAGAUGUUAUUUUGGUGGCAGAGCCUCCGAUUGUGUCUGAUGGUUCGGAAUCUGGGAGUGUGUUCGGAUCCGAGCUGGUAUUGCCGGACUCCCCUUCCCAUACUACGGAUGGCUUGAACAGCCUUUCCAGGAAUAUGUUAGGUGGGACAGGGUCGCGUUUGGCGCCGAUGCGGGCGAGGACGUCCGCCGCUUGAUUGUUUUCUCGAGCCACAUGGUGGAACUCGAGCCCCUCGAACUGCACUGACAUUUUUAGGACGGCAUUAUGGUAGGCCGCCAUUUUCGGAUCCUUGGCAUCAAAGUCUCCGUUUAUUUGUGAUAUUGUGAGGUUCGAAUCCCCUCGCACUUCCAGGCGUUGGAUGCCCAUAGAGACUACCAUCCGAAGACCAUGCAACAGAGCCUCAUAUUCGGCUGCAUUGUGGGAGUCUAUGUAUAAUAUCUGGAGGACGUACUGCACCGUGUCUCCGGUGGGAGAUGUCAGGACGACACCUGCUCCCAAUCCGGCCAGCAUUUUAGAGCCGUCGAAGUGCAUGAUCCAGUUGGAGUAUGCGUCGUACUCUUUAGGGAGUUCAACUUCCAUCCAUUCGGCAACAAAGUCGGCCAGUACUUGUGACUUGAUGGCCCGCCGUGGUUUGUAUAUUAUGUCGAAUGGAAGGAGCUUGAUGCCCAUUUAGCAAUCCGGCCCGUAGCGUCGCGGUUAUUUAUUAUGUCGUUGAGUGGUACUUCGGAGGCUACUAUAAUCGAGCACUCUUGAAAGUAGUGUCACAGCUUCCGGGAUGCCAUGAAGACCACGUAUGCUAUUUUUUGAUAGUGUGGGUAUCGGGAUUUGCAUGGGGUGAGGACUGUGGAUACGUAGUAAACCGGCUUUUGGAGCGGGAAUUUGUAUCCGUCAACCUCUCGUUCGACGACGAGUACUACGCUUACAACUUGAUGUAUUGCAACUAUGUACAGUAGCAUAGGCUCGCCGAUAUUCGCUGCUGUUAGAUCUGGAUUACUGGCCAGUAAGGUCUUUAUUUCAUCGAGUUCGGCCGCAGCCGCAUCCGUCCAUACGAAGUGUUCGGUGCGCCGAAGGAGGCGGUAAAGAGGCAGUGCCUUUUCUCCUAGCCUGGAGAUAAAGCGGCUCAAAGCGGCCACAUAUCCGGCUAGCUUCUAGAUGUGCUUGAGGUCUGUUGGUAUAGCCAACUGUGACAGAGCUCGGAUUUUUGCCGGAUUUGCUUCAAUUCCUCUAUUGGAAACAAUGAAGCCCAACAGUUUCCCCGAGGGGAUGCCGAAAACACAUUUUUCUGAAUUCAACUUAAUGUCGUAUGUCCGGAGGUUAUCGAAUGUAAGCCUCAAUUCAUCUAUUAGGGUUUUGACGUGUCUAGUUUUUAUGACUACGUCGUCCACAUAUGCUUCCACUGUUUUGCCGAUUUGUUUUUCCAGACAUGUUUGAAUCAUGCGUUGAUAGGUUGCGCCGGCGUUCUUGAGCCCGAAAGGCAUAGUGUUGAAGCAAAACGGGUCGUAUGGCGUUAUAAAAGCUGUUGCAGCUUGGUUGGACUCUGCCAUCUUUAUUUGAUGGUAUCCAGAGUAUGCGUCGAGAAAACACAGCGAGUCGUGUCCAGCUGUGGCAUCGAUAAUCUGAUCAAUGAGAGGGAGGGGAAAUGGAUCCUUGGGGCAAGCCUUGUUGAGGUCUUUGAAGUCGACGCAUAGGUGCCAGGAUUUGUCCUUCUUUGGCACCAUCAUCAAAUUUGCCAGCCAAUCCGGAUGUUUAAUAUCUCUGAUGAAUCCGGCUUCAAGUAGCUUGACUAACUCUUCUCCCAUUGCUUGUCGUUUGGGCUCUGAGAAUCACCUCAGGGCCUGCUUGACCGGUUUGUAUCCUUUUAGAAUAUUGAGGCUGUGUUCGGCCAAUCUGCGUGGGAUACCUGGCAUGUCCGAUGGGUGCCAGGCGAAAAUGUCCCAAUUUUCGCGUAAGAAAUCUCACAGUGCGGCAUCCAUCGCGGGGCUCAACUGUGUGCCGAUGGAAGCUGUCUUCGUGGGGUCCGUUGGAUGGACCUGGAAUUUGACUAUCUCGUCUGCAGGUUUGAAUGAGGUGGACUUGGGUCGCUUGUCGAGUAUCACGUCGUCCCUGUCCAUGGUGGCCUGCAGUGUUGUUAACUCUUCGGCUGCUAGGGCUUCAGAUAAUUCCUCCAGGGCUAGUGCUGCGGUUUUAUUUUCGGCGCGAAGUGCAGCUUCCGGAUCACUGGCUAGAGUGAUAAUUCCAUUGGGUCCGGGCAUUUUAUGCUUCAUGUACCCGUAAUGGGGUACAACUUGAAAGCUUGUAAACGCGUCCUGCCCUAGAAGGGCGUGGUAUCCGCUGCUAAAGGGAGCCACUUGGAAUGUGAUUUGUUCGGACCUGUAAUUCUCCGGAGUGCCGAAUACCACAUCGAGUGUGAUUUUUCCCGUGCAUCGCGCUUCCCGCGUGGGGAUAAUUCCCCUGAAGGUUGUGCCCCUUUGUUCAAUUCGGCUUUUAUCAAUUUCCAUUUUGCUGAGUAUUUCUUCAUAAAUCAGAUUUAAUCCGCUUCCGCCAUCCAUGAGUACUUUGGUGAGCCAAAAGCCAUCUACGAUCGGGCUAAGGACCAGAGCGGCUGGCGCCCGGACAGUCUGGAAUUGAGGUUCAUCACUGGCAUUAAAAGUUAUAACAGUGUCGUUCCAGGGGUUUAUUUUUGCCACAUGGCAAAUCUCAGCGGAGCUUCGAUGAGCCCGCUUGCGCCUAUUGUUCGAGGCAAAAGUCUCGAAGACUGUUAGUACCGUAUUGUGUUCGCUGGCGGGAUGUUGUUCCGCUUUAUAGCCUACAAGAAGAUCCUCGCCGCUUUUUGCCACCUGCCGGAGUAUCCAACAUGCCCUAAGGCUAUGAGUCGGUAUCGUAUCCGGAGUACUGUGGAGCUUACAUGGCCCGUUGAGCCAUUCUUCCAAUACAGAUCCCCGUCCUGGGGUAGGUUUUGGUUUCUUGGGGAUUGGAUCGGACGACUUACGAGAGUUCGUCCGUUUAGUACGGACAAAGGUUUUGGUGAGAGCGGUACUAUCCCAAAAUUUUGUUUGGGUUUUCCAAGCACUUUCCAUCGUACAGUACUUCCGUACUAUGAUUGCCAAGUCCGCGAAGUGUACUAUGUCACGACGGCUUAUAGCAUUGAGGAGUCCUUUGUCCGUGCAGUUUUUGCAGAAGAAUGAGACCACGUUCUCCUCGCGGCAGUCCCUGACCUUGUUAAGCGCAAGGAGGAACCUAGCCCAGUAGUGAUGCACGGUUUCCUGGGACUCUUGCCUGAUGUGGGAGAGACGGUUCAAGUCCAGGUAGGUGUUGUUGGCUGAGUCCGGAUUCUGAUCCGAUCUGACACCCAAGGGUGUGGGAUGUCCCGAGCCUGAUAGCUCGGGAUCCGGAGUGUCGCCCAAUUUCUUCAGCCCGAUGCCCGAUUCUAAGUCCGGGACCUGGGUCAUGUCUUCCUUGAAGCAAGUAUUCGGCUCAGGGAGUUUGAUGAUCCGGGGUGGCGCAACUGUCGUGGAAUUGUCACGACAGAUGUCCUUAGUGAGAGGACUUAGUCGCGAGGCCAACACAUCUAUGUGAUAUCUUGAGAGGGGUUGGGCGGAAUCGAGAGAGGCAACAUAAGACAAGGAUUUAGACAGCUUCCGGCCCCGGGAAACAUCAUCCGGUAAUAACCCUACAUGCUGUUUGUGGCUAGGUCUCAUUAUGAUCAUGAGGAAGUUGCCGGAAAGCCGGAUCUUUGUGUCUAGCCCUAGAGAUUGUUUCUUCUUUCUUGUCCCUCUUUGGGGAGCCCUGCCCCUCCUUAUAUAAGUUGAAGGGGCCGGUUACAUGACUAGUCCUAGUAGGAUAGGAUUACUCUAUUACAAGUGGAGUCCUAGUCUUGCUUCCUUUGUAGGAGAAUAUUCCUUAUGACUUUUCUCUUAAGCCGGCCCACCAUAGCAUGAGCCGGCCUUCUGGGCCUUGGGCCUUGUCUUCUAUCUGACCUGCCGUCAGGCCAUCCGUGAGUCGCCAGGCUCGUGAGUCGUCAGACCAGUGAGCCGCUAGACUCGUGAGUCGCCAGUCCUUCGGCGAGUUACCAAUGAAAAUGCCAAGCCCGGCCGGGUCAUGCCGCGGGGUAUAUCCCCGACAUAAGGUAUUUUUUUCAAUGUUGUUAUCGAUCGUUCCUUCAUCAUAUUGCCCAAUUUCACUCUUUUUUUAUCAGGCCGACAGAUUAUGUUUGUACACGUUGUCAAUUUGUCAUUUUGUGAUCACUUUACAUUACAAGUGAAGUGACCUUCAAUUAUUAUGCAAUUGUGAUCAUGUUAUGUUGUCUUUAUCUGUGAAAUUUUGGCAUGCAUUAUAUUUACAUAACUUUAGAAAAAUAUUUCAGAAGCCCGUGGCAACGCACGGGCAUUAUACUAGUUAUCAUAAGUUCUUACCGCAAUAGUUUCUUACCAAAUUUCAUAUGACUGUCUUCUGCAUGUAUGAAUACUUUCACAAUUCCUUGAACUUUUUUUGCAAAAGGGAGGCAGAUCUAUUAUAAAUAAUCGUCGGAAGUACCAAACACCUCAAUCAUAAUAAAAAUUACAUUAAGGUCCAUGGACCAUCGGGUAACCACUGCCGUCGGCAAAACGAGCCAUCAAUGCGCUGACGUCGCUGCUCCCAUAGCGAAGCCGACCUGACCUUAUCGAUGAUAGCCGGAAAGUCUUCAUCGAUGUGCCCCUAAGGGCCAGCACCCCGGGCCCGCAGCCGUCGCCGCUGAAUCCUUCAUUCGACCUGAAGAACCCAACACCAAAACUCGUAGUCGUGCACACACGAUGAAAAACCCUAUCCCCGUCACCCCGAGGAACUGGCGGGAAUCUAUGCCAGAGAUUCGUCUAAUCCGUCCCGAUUGACAAACUUGAGGAGGAUCAAAACUCGAAAGACUGACUCAAAGAAGAAGCAGCCCCAUCCGUCUGAGUGCUUCCCUUGCGCGGACUAAAAUCCUAUCCUAUCUACUAGCCGAAGCCGAGGCACCAGGAUAUCAUUCUAGUGAUAUCAUGUGUGCGUACAUACCGACGCAUAAGCAUAUACUCUUUCUACAAGAAUUCUUGCGAAAAGGAAGAAAAUGUUUAUACGAUCAGUAAAGAAACUAAUCCCAAAAUAAUGCCGUUGUGUUGUGGUUGAUUUGGAAGAUGCGGGAUAAUGCAUGCUUUUUUAUUAUAAUUCAGUCGUUAUUACCAAUAUGGUGGGUCGCGCAUCGGUUAACGACCAUUUUGCAAUGUGCACGGCUUUAGGCUAGUCAUGGUGGGAAGUAAUUUAGACUAAUAACAUGCAUAUAUUACUACCUUGGUAGUGAGUAAUAACAUAAGCCGAGGCAAAGGGCUUGCAUAACUGGCGGCAGAGUAAUUAAUAUUGUAGCAGUAAGUACAGGUUUUCCUUUAUAGUUAGGGCUGCUUCAUGAGGCAUUCCGCGGUACUUGGGUUAAACCUCGUUCAGGUCUAUCUUCGAUGCAGAUGAUCUUUUUACUGUGGCCAGUGGCAUCUAUGGGACAUAGUUUUAGCGUCUUGGUCAGCGUGGUGAGGCGGCGACAACGGCCUACAUUUAGAAUAAUCACCCCAUCACCGCUCCAGAGGUGUGCCUGGAUUCAGCCGACACUAGUGGUCAUUGAUUUGUUUGUAGGUCCUCUGAUCUAUGUUUUUCUUCAUCGUGACGGAGGUUGUUCUGAUGUGUUGGCCAAAGUCUUAGCACGACGAUUUUUUGUCUGUCAACUAGCCUGGCUCCGGUGAGGAAGGGGAUUGAUUUGUUUGCAGGUCCUCUGAUCUAUGUUUUUCUUCAUCGCGGCGGAGGUUGUUCUGAUGUGUUGGCCAAAGUCUUAGCAUGAUGUUUUUUUGUCUGUCAACUAGCCUAGCUCCGGUGAGGAAGGGCUGACGUGCUUUCGACUCAUUCCAGUGCAUGUUAAAGCUAGAUGAUCCAUGGUGUUUUGAUGUGUUGGCCAAAGGUCUUCAGGUCUAUCUUCGAUGCGGAUGAUCUUUUUACUGUGGCCAGUGGCAUCUAUGGGACAUAGUUUUAGCGUCUUGGUCAGCGCGGUGAGGCGGCGACAACGGCCUACAUUUAGAAUAAUCACCCCAUCACCGCUCCAGAGGUGCGCCUGGAUUGAGUCGACGCUAGUGGUCAUUGAUUUGUUUGUAGGUCCUCUGAUCUAUGUUUUUCUUCAUUGCAACGGAGGUUGUUCUGAUGUGUUGGCCAAAGUCUUAGGAUGAUUUUUUGUCUGUCAACUAGCCUGCCUAAGCAAGCAAGACAAGGGUCAUGAAGAUGCAUCAAAACCCUCACGAAUGCUGGCAUAUUGCUAAUCAGAGUGCAUGCCUAAUACAAAAAUAAAGAAAGGUGCACAACCCUGGCACGAACUGAAGCAAGGCUUGCCUUACAAUCUCAAGUCUGAACUACCAUUAUUCAUCUUACGAUUCUUAAAUACUUCCAACACAAAAAUAAAGGAAGGCACACAACCCUGGUGCAAACUAAAGCACAUUCAGGAUGCCUGUUAGGCACCCCGUUGCAAUAUUACAAGGAGCAUGUCCGGGAGGGCCUCGUUGUACAUGUAAUUGUACAAUCGCGCUCAGUAAAAAAAGGCGCUGUCUUCAACAAGAGAUGGCGGAACUGGACCAUCGAUGCGGUGCCGGAGAAAUAUACAGUACCCAGCGCCCAGCGGUAUCACCUGAAGGGGUGGUCCGUCGAUACAGCACCGCAAGGUAGUUCCAUUCCGCAAAGUAUCAAUCAUCUGGAGGAUAGAGCAAACAAACAUGUUAGGACAGGACGAGAAGAGGGUGGAGAACAACAGUUAGGAGCUGAAGGAACAUCGAAGCUCACCGCGACUAUUUCGCAAUUGUGUUGGAUUCAGUUUUCCACACAAUGUCUUUUAGUUCUGAUGAGAAAUUCUUGUAGAACUGCAUGCAGUUUUGAGAAAACAGUGUUAAUUGUUUCAGAGUUCAGAAUGUUUGGCG
rnacentral:lncRNA from 1 species